rnacentral:lncRNA from 1 species
UACCAAGAAGCUUAAAUCUUCAAUAUCAAUCAAAAACCGUGAUAAUCAACCUCCAAAGUUAUUCAUUAAGUUAUAUCAAAAUAGUAAUAAUAAAUAAAUAUGUAAGCAGUUACAUUACAUUCAUGAUUUUUUACAAGUUAAAUUAUCACAAUCAUUGCCCAGACCACUUAUAAAUCACAUCUUCAAGUACAGAUCCAUCUGAAAGUACAACAAAUAUUAGCAAAAAUAAUAUCGAACAGCAAAUGAAUUAACAAAAUGGUAAAGAAAACUCAGUUAAAAGUGAUAAAUAUCACUUCAUCUUUCGAAGAAUUCCCAGAUCUAGCAUGAAAAACAAUUUUAGAUGAAAACUAUGCUUAUGGCCAAGUAAAUUAAUAGAUAAUGCAUAACUUUAGAAAUAUUACAUUAAAAAUACCUCACCAACAAAGAUCUCACAGAUCUGGUGUAGAUCAAAAUUAUACGAACAACAUACUAUGCAGCAAACAGUAAAUUAUUCGAUAGAAAUUAAAUUAAAAUACUGGAUAUUAUUUGAAACUACUUUCUUAAAUUAAAAAAAAUGGAUAUAAGAAAUAAAGGUGUAGAGCUCCCUUCAAUCCAAAGAAAGAUGACACCAGAAAGUGAUAAAGCUCCCUGGAUAUGGAAGCCACAAAACUACCACAUAACACACAAAAAUGGGUAGAAUUGAGGGAUCCAUAGCUAAGCAGCUCUAUCAACAUAGCAACAUCCAUAUUUGAACUAAAAGAAGCUCCACCCCUCAAAAAACCCUAACACCAAAAACUUCAACUUCAUUCAAAUAUAAAAGAAAAAAACUAUGAAAAAUAAGUGAAUCUAGUCAAAAUAAGCAAAAGUAGAAAAAGAUAAUGAGCUGCAAAAAAAUCUAGAGACUAGAUCUUGUUUUUCAGAUCUAUAAGGGAGUACCUUCUUCAAAUAGAUAAAAAGAAAAAAGAAAAGACCAGAGAGAAACUAACUCAACACCGAAAGAUGAGAACCCUAUCUUGGAAAGGCAUCCUUUAGUUCUCUUAAAUAAAGCAACUUGGACUGAAACGCAUCCCACUUUGCCACUUCAAUUACACUUUUUAUUUUUAAAUGAACUAAUAAAAAACCAAACCCUAUCUUGGAAAGGCAUCCUUUAGUUCUCUUAAAUAAAGCAACUUGGACUGAAACGCAUCCCACUUUGCCACUUCAAUUACACUUUUUAUUUUUAAAUGAACUAAUAAAAAACCCGUCUUUUUCUAUGGAAUAUAGUUUUGGAUUCUUAGUUAUUUGAAUACUAUUAUAAAAAUUGAAAAUCGACUAAAAAGAUCUUAUAAAUAAUAGUAAAUUUAAUUUGGAAGGACAAUUAAGAUAAAAAAACAAUAUUAAAAACAAUAUAAUUAAAAAUAAAAUUUAUUUUAGAUAAAUAAAUUAUUUAGUUUUUUUAAUAAAUUUUUAAAAUUUAAUUCAUUCCCUUUUAGUUUUCGCACUAUAUACUUGCGGUUUCAUUGGAGUGGAAGGUUACAAAAGAGAUACAACACAUCUAAUUUUAUUGAUCUUGAAAAUUUAAGGAUUUUUGGAUGUAUAUGUUAUGUGGAUAUAUCUAGUGAAGAUUUAUACAAAAUAAGUCGAAGAAGUGUGACUUCGUCAAUUAUGAAAAAUGUGUGAAUGAGUUCAAGGUAUGGGAUCCGAUUAAAAAGAAGAUGGUAAUAAAUGAAAUGUUGUUUUUAUGAACAAUUAAUUUUGAAGCAUGCAGUUGCAACAAAUGUGUCAACAUUUAAAAGACAAACUUCCAACAAACAAAGUAUUAGCACCCAAAGUGUCUUAAGUACUUCUAGGGGACCAUUUUUGGGUGCAAGUGUUUUAGUUGAAAAGAUGUUUGUUAAAAAUAUAGAAUUGAGGGAUGAGAAAAUAAUUCAAUUAUUAUAUUUUUGUGUUUGACAAGACCUUCGGUCUUAUGCCUACGUACCAACAUAAAAAUGAGGGAUCAAAACCUCGUAGUUCGUGGUAAAAUUUUUUAAAGAAAUUGGUGGAUUGAUUUUAACAAAAGCUUAAAGAUCUUUUGUUAUAAAUGGGAGAAUACUCAAUCAAACAUCCAUCGAUAAUGAAAGUUUUACAACAUUUAAAAGGGAGUGCUCCAACUUGGAUUCAAUAAAUAAGUAUGUCAAUAACCCCUAAUAAAUGGAAAGACUUAUAAUCAAUAUAUUAUGGAAUGGGAGAACUAUAUCUCAACCAAAGAUAACUCAAAUCUAAAUGCCCUCUUUUGAAAAAGUUAAAGCAAAAAGCACAAAAUGGUAAAAAGGAUUAGAUGAGGUUGUUAGUUCUUUUUGUCUUUUGAAAAUAAGGUCAAUAUGAUUAAGUUCAAUUUAUAAGUUUGAUUAAAAAAAUAAAAGUUUUGAAAAUCAAUGGCAUAAGGCCAAAGUUUCUACUCGUUAAAAUAAGCAUAAGUUGAAAACAAGACAAAGAAGGUUUUGAAAUGAGGGAGUGAUUUUAAAAUUUAAGAAGGAAUGGAGGAGAUGAAGGGACUAUCCUAGAUAGAAUUUUAAAAGGUUGGAGUUGAAAUGAUCUGACCAAUGGGAUGUAAUCCACAAGACAAGAAUGUCAAAUAGAAAGUUAUUUUCUUUGUACUAUUGAGCAAGCAACAAGCAUAACCAUCCAAGCAAUUAAUAUAAAGAUCAAAUGGCAUCAAAUAAAGAUAGUCAACAUCCAAGCAAGCACUCCAAAAGCAAGCAGACUUCAGUGUCUUUAAAUGUGUCAGAUGAAAUAUUCCUUGUGGCAAACUCAUAGAAACAACCAUCAGACAUGAACAAUAAGAUUAAGAUAACAACUUAAUCAUAGAGACAAAAUAAUAGAUAAACCAGUGAGGCUCUCAAGGCUUGUCUCAGAUGAAUGGCAUUGACCAAGCUAACUCAGUCUCAAAUAAUGGCAUUGACCAAGUCCUUCAAAGCAUUGGGAUGUUGCAUACUCUAAGUCUAAAAGUUCAAAUCAACAUAUUUUUUAGGAUUUUUGUUAUUAUUAGGUAUCUUAAGGUCCUAAGACCACAAACAAAAUAAAAUCACAAGUGCACAAUAUAUACAAGCACAAAGAUAUGGCUCAAAUGAGCAAAGUGAAAAUGACUGAAACAUAAACAUCUUAAAUGAAAUGUAAAUGAUAAUGACUGAUAAAUGUAUUGAAAUUUAAAUUGCAUUAAGCAAAUGACAUUAAAGAUAAAGCAAUAAUAAAUAAAUGUUAGUGAAGGAAAUCAUUGUUUAAGUCAUUCUUUGGAGAACACGCAACCAUCCACUCACAAGCAUGAAGACAUGAACCAAGACAUCAUCUAUGAGAAGGGCUCCAACUUGGAUAAAUUAACAAGUAUGCCCGUAGCACUCACAAAUGGAAAAAAGGUUAAUUCUUCACACAAUACCAUGAGGGAUGAGAGACUUACAAACUCACUUAUAAGAAUGUUAUGUCUUUGGGACAAAAUUUUGCUCUAUGUUAAGCAAUCGUAAUUGGACUUAUGUAAAAGACACAACUAUUUGAGGUCGGGCAAUAAAACAUUGAUGUUAAUGCAUGCUAGAGACAUGGUACAAAGAACCAAACUCCUAAAGCAUACCACCAAAAAAAUGGGAUGAACCUAUCUCUAUUAACCUCAUGUUGAUUCAUCUAACACAAAGUCAUUGAUGAAUCAACUAGCCUUUGAUUAUUUGAGAAGUCAUUGGUCAAUGAAGGAUUAAGGAAUGUGAGGGAUGAAGAUGAAGGGAGAUGGAAAUGGAAAUCCAAAUUGAUCAAGGGAGGGAUUUCAUCUGAUCAAUAUUAUCCAUUCAUUUUGAGGAAUGAAGUUUACACUUCAUCAACCCCCUAAAUCCAAUAAUGUUGAUCAAAUGGAAGUUCAAAUCAACCAUGAUCAAGGUCAAACAGAAGAUGAAACAACACAAAAUCAACCAAAUAGCUCAACAUAUUAUUUCAAUAAUUAAUGAAAUUAAAGUCAAUUUUAAAUGAAAGAUGAAACAACACAAAAUCAACCAAAUAGCUCAACAUAUUAUUUCAAUAAUUAAUGAAAUUAAAGUCAAUUUUAAAUGAAUAAAAAUGCAUUUUAAAAGGGUAAAAACCUCAAAUCCCUUCAAAUAACCAAAUAAAUGGCCAAGGGAUUUAUCCUAGGUCAAAGGACCUUAGACAAAAAUUUGGGAAUUUUUGGAAAGUCAGAAGUAUUUAAAAUUAAUUAAAAACAAGUCAAAAACUAAUAAAUUCACAAAAAAUAUAAAAUCUAAUCCAAAAAAUGAUUUUAAUUCAAAAUAUGAAAGAGGAAGUUAUUUAAAGAUUUUUGAUGAAAUUCCAAUAUUUUUUGGAUUAAAAAUGAAAUUAUUAUGAAUUUUAUAAAGAUAAGCUAAUUAAAAUAUUAAUCAUAAAAAUAAAGAAAAUAGAAAAAAUAAGGGUCAUCGGAUCUCCCUAAUUAAUUGAGGUGACAUAUCUGAUGGUCACGUGCAUGAAUUCCACGAUGGAUCAAAGUCAAAGCAUGCACAUGAAUGAUAAUCAGAACUAAGGGUCAAGAUUAUAACGUGGCAAAGGAUCAGAUGGUCUGGAUUGAUGUCAGCACUCCACCAGGGCCCUAGCUCUGGUCAUCUUCUCCAGUGACCUCCAUCGGACUGGUCCAACCAAAAAGUUCAUCAAAAACAAAGAUCCGCAUAUGGUUUUAAAGAGAAAAUCAAGGGGAGUACGAAUCUGACCUCCAUUUCUUCCAAUUCUCACUAUACAACGAGAUGUGUGGAAUUGAAAAAUGAGGUGGAUGAACUGGGUUGCUUCGAUUUAACCUCAAAGCAACUUAAUCUUGUUGCCUACAUUGGUAGGACUUCAGCUGACCAAAUAUUAAGUGAAAUGAUGGAGAAUUUAGGGAGAAUCGAAGAAGGAAAGAUUGAGAAAUUUCACCUUCUGUUUGCAAUGAUGAAGCUCGAUCUCAAUUCCAAUUCACUUGGUCCUGCUUCUACUUGCUUGCAGGAGAUGAUUUGAAUGCAAAAGGCUAUGAAUCCUUGGAGUUUCAGUUCCAAAACAGAAUGAGAACUAAAACUCGAUUUCAAAUGAAAUCCUCAAGGUAUUCUAUCAAUGGAGGUUUAGGGGAUUUGUAGAUCAAAGCUUGGUAAAGGUCUCACUUAUGAGGCAUUUUGGUAUGUAUUUUAUGCCUUAGUGAAAAAUUUACAAAAAAAAAAAUUUUCCAACACAUUCAAAAAUUGGUCAAAAUAGUAACUUGUGUGCAUGGGUGCAUGGGCAUGCAUUAAGGCUCAAAUGAUGAUUGCAAAAGGUCUAAAUUCAUGCACAUUUUAUGUUGAAAUCAUUUCAUGAAGCCAUGCAAUGUUGAUUGAAAGUUGAGUACAAAAUUUUCCAAAUAGGGUCAUGCAACCUACCCAUGUGUAAGUCCCUCAAAUUUAAUCCAAAUGUCAUAAUCUUUGACUCUUUGGAAAGUUAGCAUGAAGGGGAACAACUUUGAUGUUGAAACUUUUUCCAUUUGGAGAUUGGAUCAUGAUGAAUUUUGGUGUGGACCUUGAAACAAAAUUGAAGAGGAACUUAUUUAGGACAUUUGUCUCGAAAUGGAACUUAAAAAGCUUGUGAAAUGAGAAAGUUAUGCUUUUUGGAACUUGCCAUAGGCUAUUCUUGCCAAAAUGCGACCAACCAAUAUGACCUAAAAAUGUGAUUUUGAGAUUUCUUGAUUUUGAAGGAACAAUGCUAGAUGUUUUAAGCUCAUGUGAUCAUAUCAUAAUGUAAAGUUAAGCUUGGAGCUUUGUGGGAUAAUUUUAGGUCAAGUUCAUGGGUGAAUCAAAUGCCUUGAAAUUUCAAAAACCAUGACCAAACCAAGUACUUGUAACAUAAAUUGAAUGAGUGUUUGCAUUGUGAAUUGUGGUUUUAGUUGUCAUUAAGUGAUAUUGAAUGAAUGUUGGUAUGAUAGGGUGAUCAAAAUGAAGCAAGGUCAAUGAUCAAAGGAUGCCCGAACUAGGGUUUCUUGAACCACAAGCUUCAUCAAAAACCAUGGUCAGACAAAUUAGGGUUUGGUGAUGUAAAGGACAUAUUGAGAUGCUUCAAAGGUUUGAGUCAUGAAAAAAAAUUGGAUUUUAGGGGUCCUCAAUGACAUGGUCAAGAUCCAUAGUGAAUCAUGACUUGUACAAGCCAAUGAAGGUCGAGCUAGGGUUAGGGUCUUUGGGUGACCAUAUGAACUUGAUGUGUCUUAAAAGGGGGACUCACCAUCCAAUUAGGGUUUUGGAGAGUGAGUGAGAUGUCUUGAAUGAUCCUUCACGAUUUGUUGGAUGCUUGAGGAUAUAUAUUAGGGUUAAGGUGGCUUGGGCAUACCUCAACAUGAUCAGAGGGUCUUGAGGCUUCAUAGAUGAACCUCAUGCCUUGGGUUUGUGGAUUAUUAAAAGUCAUUAAAUACAAAUGCAUAUGAAAUGAUAUGUAUGGGGUGUAUGCUUAUGAAUAAUUAAGGUUUAAGGUGGUGAUGCGGAGGUAGAGUAAAUUUGAGGGUAUAGCCUAUUUGUUGGGAACUUUUAGUCCCAUAGGCAAAGUUAUAUUAAUCCUGGAUGAUUAGACUUUAAGUCCCUCAGGAUAAGCAAUGAAUCUAUCGGGAGAGACUUCUAUCAAGCCCCCCGACAAGAGUUUUAACUAGGUCUCUUAGGUGAGACUUCAGUCUCGCCUCUUUGGCGAGAUUCAUGUGUCAGAUCCCACCCGAGAAAACUCUAAGUCCCUCAGGCGAGGAUUUUAGAUAAAAUGUUUAUUAUGAACUCUUAGUCCCAUGAGCGAACUUAUAGUAAGCCUGGAUGAUGAGAUUGUAAGUCCCUCAGACGAGGCGUUGUACCUCUUGGGCGGGACAUUUAUCACACCCUCAAACAAUAAUUUUAACUAAGUAUUUUAGGAUAGACUUCAAUUGUACCUCUUUGGGUGAGAUUGCCCAAGGAAACUUUAAGUUCCCUAGAUGAUGAGCUUAGAUAGUUCAUUCAUAUUUCCCUAGAAAGCGAUAAGUAUAUUUGCCACGAAGUUCAACAUAUAAAGUAUUGACUUAAUAGGCGACAAAGAUCUUAUCCAUGAAGUCCAACAUAUAAAAUAUUAUCUUAAGAGGUGGCAAGGAUCUUCACCGUGAAAUCCAACAUACAAAACUGCCUUAAGAGGUGAAAAGGAUCUUCACCAUGAAGUCCAACAUACAGAGUAUUUCCUUAAGAGACUGCAAGGAUUUUCUCCACGAAGUCUAACAUAAGAAAUAUUUCCUUAAUAGGCAACAAUAAUCUUCACCGUGAAGUCCAACAUAAUAAAUAUAACCUUAAUAGGCAGUAAUGCUCUUUUCCAUGAAGUCCAACAUAUAAAUUAUUGCGUUAAGUUACGAUAAGGAUUUUCACCAUGAAAUCCAGAAUAAGAAAUAUUGUAUUAAGAGGUGGCAAGGAUCUUUGCCAUGAAGUCUAAUAUACAAAGUAUUUCCUUAAGAGGAGGAAAUAAUCUUUGCCAUGAAGUCCAACAUACAAAGUAUUUCCUUAAGAUGUAGUAAGGAUUUUUUCCAUGAAGUCUUACAUACAAAAUAUUUCCUUAAUAGGCGGAAAGGAUCUUCGUCAUGAAGUCAAACAUACAAAGUAUUACCUUAAGAGGCAAAAAUGGUCUCUCUUAGGGAUCUAGUAUUUUGAUCGCCUCUUAGGGUGAUCCUCUUUAGAGAUUUUAGGUUCCCUUCCCAAAAGGAAUAGCUAGCAAACAUAGAUUCUUGGGAAUAAAAUAGUGAGAGGCCUCUUUAAAAAACCCCGCCUUAUGCAAGGCACAGAGGGAAAAUAGUUCACCCCCUAAAACAAUAUUUCUUUUAAAACGAAAUAGAUAUAAUACUCGCCUAUCAAAAUUAAUACCAAAGUGAUAAACGAUAGUAAAGAAAGUAAACAAAUGACAGUAGGAAAAGUGGAGCUAGUGGGCAUUCCUUUUGGCCUUUAAAGCUUCGAUCUCCCCAGUAGCUUAGAACUCAGUGAGCCUACCUUUUACAGGCAGAACUAGUCUCUCUGCCUCCGGUGAAUCCUCCUGCAAUAGUUGAGCGUAUAGCGCAUAAAUUUGUCCUUCUCUCCCAUGGAAGUCUCCUUUGAUUUAUUGGGCAUAUGGCUUCUUGUGUCAUCUCACCCUCUCUAGUUGAACUUGGCUUCCCAUAAGAAGAUUCACCAUUCACAUACUUCUUCAGGUGUCCCUCCUGGAUCAACCUCUCAUUCUCUUUUUUGAGUUGGUAACAUUCCUCGGUGUGGUGUCCUUUGAAUCUAUGGAACUUGCACCAUUUACCUGGUUUGGGACCCAUCAUGUAUGCUUUUAGAAAUACAUGGGGCAUAAGGAUAUUGUGCAGGUGAAGAACCUCAUGUCAGGUCUGUUUAUGGCGAGUGUUCAUGGGCAUGAAUCUCUUUGCCAUCUUUCCUACUCUCUAUAACACAAUUGUGUCCUUGAUGGGAGAGGUGUAAUUACUCUUCUUUUGAUGGUGCAAACCAUCAACGUUAGGAGCAUAUUUUUUGACGUCUCUCACUUUCUUCUCAAUUUUGCUCUCCUCGCCCUUUAUGUAAUAUUAUACCUUGGUGGCCACCUUUACUAACAAGAGUGUUGGCUUUUAGGCGAGAGACUAUCCUCGCCCUUUAUGUAAUAUUAUACCUUGGUGGCCACCUUUACUAACAAGAGUGUUGGCUUUUAGGCGAGAGACUCAUUAAAGUGUCCCGCCUUAAGUCUAUUUUGGAACACCCUCACAAAAAUUUAUUGGUUUGGUGGGACAAUCUUGGUGGUGGAUUCACUGAACUUGGAGAGAUAGUCCCCUAACAACUUCGAUGGACCCUGUUAUUUUGUUGAACAGUUUGGUAGUGUAAAUUUUCCAAUGUCAACUAGUAGUAAACUGGUGUAUGAGUUUCCUCACUAGCUCCUGAUAAUUGGCGAUGGAAGUUAGGGGUAUACCAUAUACAAUUGUAGGUCAACAUCCCUGAAGGUGUCAAACAGUAAUUUGCAUUACAAGGAGUGGGGCACUCUAGUGAUGACCAUAUGUGUGUUGAUUGAGGUGACUGAAGGAGAAUUGCCAUCCAAGGCGCAGCGAAAUUUAAAAAAUUUCUCCAUUUAGUGAUCCUUACGAAUGGGCAUGAUCAAUGAUAGAAUUAUUACCUCUUGUGGCGAUUCAAACCUCUGGUGCAGAUUUCUGAUAAUGAUCAAAACCUUUGAUACAGAUCCACGGGGCGAUCACGAACGUUGAACGAUGACAACGUCUCUACUCAGUCCACACGAACGGAUUCCUUCAAUCGCAGUGCUAGCUGUUAUGAAUGAAGGCUUUGAGUGAGAGAGAGAUACGAAAUUCCAACUCUUCAGUUGUGUUUUCUGUCUCAGUGAGUUCAUAUGCUUCUACCCAAGGGGUUCUAUUUAUAGAACCACUUGUGUGGGCUUCAAGCCAAAAAGCCCACUUAAGUGCAUUUUGGCCCAUAUCUCACCCUUGAUUCUAUUUAUAAAAUCAUGUUAUUCAGUACAUCUUUGUGUUCAUUUUCAUUUUAUUGUUUUGUUUGCAAAAAUGACGUCCGAAUUUUUGGUAAACAUUACAUCAUGAAACAUAAGAGCUUUACAGGUACGUGCUCAAUAAACAUUGAAAAUUGCUGUAAAUUUUAAGCGCUUGGGAUCGUCUAUUCAGAACAGGUACACUCGGGGCAUUUCCUUAAGGUCCCCAUCAAAUGAUCGUUGAUGUUUUUCCUCAACAGUUGGAAUUUGGUAUCUUAUCCCUGCAGAGUUGGUCCGAGCGUUGGAUUCUUCAAUCCCCAACAGGCUCUCACUGCUGUACUUCCCCAAGCAUUUGUUUCAGAUUAUACAUUCACCAGUAGAGUCGACAGUGUCAGACUGUAUAUCACCAGCGAAGUUGACAGUGACAAACUGUAUCUUCCCAACAAAAGUGGCUGCUCCUCAGAGUUCAAUGCCAGAUCGAUGAUCUCGACGUUAGACCCACGACCUCUUUCCUUGAAGCAGAAUCUCGGUACCGUAUCGGUGUUUGCUUCCCCUGCUGAGUCGUCUCUCUCGCAGAUUAUGGUUGCCAGAACCACUAUCGCUUUCCUCAACAACAAGUUUUCAGUGCCGUUCUCUCCUCAGUCAGAGCCUCAGUAUUUUGUUAUUUGCCCGAACACCGUAUGGCGGAUCAUUUCCCCAGCAGAAUUCUUUGCCUCGGCUUGGCAUUCUAUCUAAUCAAGCAUUUCACAUCCCUGCAUGUAGAAUCAUAUUGCAUUGCAUCCUCCCAAAUUGCGUAGCAUUUCCAUUUUCAUGGAGCAUUACGCCAUUGAAAAAUUCAAACAUACGCAUGUAAAGCAUAAGGCACUCUCGGUAUCCCAAGUGACAAGCCAGAAGUUGUUUCCAGUACUCAGACUGAAGAUUGUUCAUGACUUAUCUUUAUUAUUCCCAACAGGGGUCGUUGGCCCACGCGCAGCCUCAAUUAUCAUUUUCCCUAUUUCUGCCGAUGCUGAUAGGCAUGAAAGUUUCUGGUAUUCAGACCGAAGUGGCAUUUAGGCCAGUUUUCCGAUGUUCAGAUCGAAGAAGUUUCCGACGUUCAAGUCGAUGCAACUUGUGGCAUUCAGGCCAGGUUCCCGGUAUUCAGACCGAAGUGGCAUUCAAGCUAGUUUUCCGAUUUCAGAUCGAAGAAGUUUCCGACGUUCAGGUCGAUGCAACUUGUGGCAUUCAGGCCAAGUUCCCGGUAUUCAGACCGAAGUGACAUUCAGGUCAGUUUUCCGAUGUUCAGAUCGAAGAAGUUUCCGACGUUCAGGUCGAUGCAACUUGUGGCAUUCAGGCCAGGUUCCCGGUAUUCAGACCAAAGUGGCAUUCAGGCCAGUUUUCCGAUGUUCAAAUCGAAGAAGUUUCCGACGUUCAUUCAGGCCAAGUUCCCGGUAUCCAGACCGAAGUGGCAUUCAGGCCAGUUUUCCGAUGUUCAGAUCGAAGAAGUUUCUGACGUUCAUUCAGGCCAAGUUCCCGGUAUUCAGACCGAAGUGGAAUUCAGGCCAGUUUUCCGAUGUUCGGAUCGAAGAAGUUUCUGACGUUCAGGUCGACGCAACUUGUGGCAUUCAGGCCAGUUUUACGGUAUUCAGAUCGAAGUGGCGCUCAGGCCAGUUUCCCGAUGUUCAGACCGAUGUUUGAUAAUCUAAUAUCUUCCAAUGCUCAAAUCGAAGUCAUUUCCAGUAUUCAGACUGAUGAGCGGCAUUCAGGCCAUGGUUAUUUCUGUGUUACCAUUUAUUUUGGUAUCCAGGUUAACAUUCUUUUUCGGUAUUCAGACCGACUCUCACAACUGAUGAGCGGCAUUCAGGCCAUGGUUAUUUCUGUGUUACCAUUUAUUUUGGUAUCCAGGUUAACAUUCUUUUUCGGUAUUCAGACCGACUCUCACCGUACCAGACGGAUUCUUCUUUCAAGACCAUUUAUUUGCCGAUUCUGACAGGCAUCGUUACUUCACUUCACUUCAGUGUAAAUUUUCAGGCUUUUAUUGUAUUCAAUUCCCUGAUACCUCGAAAGUGCGAAAGUCGCUGCUAUCUUCUUUUCGGGUCUCUAGUUGAUUGAAUAGGGGCAGCUGUAGCACCUCAAAUUUGCCCCCCUCAUUCAUGCAUUCAUUUUUUGGUCAUUUAACAUUUCAUAUUGCAUUUCAUCAUGUCAAUCAGAAUUAGAUCCAAGAAGCUUGAAUAUCAUCCAAGACACUUUGUGGGUUCUAUCGGGGUGAUCAGCCAACACAAGGGAAUGAUUUGAGUUACUUCCAACAUGUUCAAAUGGGGUCUAUUCAUCAUUCAAAACGCUAAUCUUGAAGGAGCAAAAGUCUGUUCUUGAGCUGUCAUGCUCGCUAGGCGAGCAGCGUGGUUCGCCUAGCGAGUCUGAACUGUCAUGUUCGCUAGGCGAGCAAAUUCUUCGCUAGGAGAGCAAAUUCUUCGCUAGGCGAAGCGCACGCGUUUUAAAAAUAAAAAAUAUACAGCAGAAAAAAUCUUGGACUUUGACCUCUCUCAUUUGAGCCCACCAAGCCACGAAAAUCAGGUUAUAAAUUCUAAAAAUUCAGUGGAAAAACCCUAGAGAGAGAGAGAGAGGAGAAGAGCUAACAGAAUUCAGAGCAGCCUCCAGAGACACUGAAGAAAAAAAACUCCUUUGCACAGGAUCACCUCUACCAAUUCCAUCUCAUACAAACCCUAAGAUUGCUUUGCAAACCCAACCGGGCAAUUCAAUUUCAUUCGAUCUCUCCGAUCAGGUUUGCCCUAUUUCCAUCACUUUAUGCUUUCAAUCUGAAAUUUCUAAAUGUAUAAGGCAUUAUGGGUGAAUUUGGAAGAGUGGGUAUCGUUAGGUUUUGCACACGGGUUUAGAUAUGCAUGAAUGUGUAAAACAAUACCUUGAAUGUUUAAUCGUUUAAUUUCUGAAAUGUGUACCAUAGGGUUUGGGGUUACUGAAAUCAUACUGUUAUCAAAGAAGAACCUAGAACCCGCAGGCAUUCGCUAGCACCUCGCUAAGCGAACAUGUAGCGACGCUUCGCUAGCACCUCGCUAAGCGAAGCAGUAACGAUGAUGACAGUAACUGUUUUUUCUGUUGGCUCUCUAACCUGUUUUGUGACAUGUUUUCUAUUGCAUCCGGGCACUGUUUACCUGACAUUGUUGUUGCUAUGAUUCUUUUGUUUGAUGCAACUCUCGAUUGCACCCCAUCUUGUUACUCUAACUUGUUUGUUGAGUUUUUGUGAGAGCUCCCAUAACUCCUAAAGAGAUAGCUUGCUUGGUAUUCCGCUUUAUUUGUGGGAUACCAUUGUGGAGAAUUAUUCUGAUUGCUUUGCUGACGUGCUUUCUUUGAUGAUGCUAGCUUGAGAGAUCACCGGGUUUCUUGCUUCUCUAGUUGUUAUUACUUCGGAUUUUUAUCCGUGUGGUAGAUCUCCUGAUCUCUUUAUCUUUCUCGCAUUUUACCGCUUUCUUAGCUGGAAGACCUCGAUAGGAGGCGAUGUUUUUUGUGUGUUUACUUUUGUGCCCAAAGACCUCCAAGAAGAGGCACCAAUGCUAAAGACCUCCACGAAGAGGCAAUUGACGGAUAUAAGGGAUUAGUAGUCAAUCCCCCGUUAUUCAGUGUGUCGUUCUUUAUGCUCGCACUAUGUGUCGAUGCUUCAAAACAAAAGCCCAAGAUCUUUUGUCCGGUCAGUCAGUGGAGAGGGUUCCACCUUUCUGAAUCCCCACUUUUUGUCAUGAGCUCACUCUGUCCAAGGUUAAGAGCUAUGAGGUCUUAUCCUCAUUACCCUUUCGAUCUGCUCACCCUGACGUUCGGUGUCAGUGGUUAAGAGCCCGUUUGAUUACCCUUCCAUGGCUUGUUUGUCGAGGUUGAUAUGACCCCUCUUGACUAAAGCCCUACCCAUGUAUGCUUGAGCCCCCUUGUUGGCGCGUUUACUUUAUGCAUGUUUGUUUUGUAUGGUGUGAUCGUCUCCCCAUAGGAUUUCUAGGCUACAUAUAGUCUCUCAUUUGCAUGUUAAUCAAGGUAGCACGGUUCCUUCGUCUAGGACUUCCUUUUUGCAUGAGCACUCCUAAAACACAAACAAACUCAUUGAUUUUUCUUCUCCUAAGAACACGUUAACUCCUUCUACUACAGGCGAGUAAGUCUCCAAAGGUCUAGCAUCCGGUAGAUUGCAUAGUAACGUUGUUCACCCUAAAAAAAACACAAAACAAACAAAUAGGUCAGCCGAGCUACGAAGACUCUGAUUCUCAUAUUCAGAAGAGAUACGUAUGUAGUGGAUGCGACAUCCGUGCGAGUCAUUUUCUUUUGACCCCUCUUUUAGUAAAUAGUACAUUAGAUAAACCCACACCCUUUGGACAAGAACAACAAGAGUGGAUCCCGUAGAGUACUACGGAUGCGUAGGGGUGCCUAAUACCUUCCUUCGAUCUCGAACUCCCGAACCCAAGAUUUGGUUGCGAGACCUUGUCUUUUCCUUUCCUUUUUCCAAGUUUACUUCGAGCGUUUCCUUUCCCUCCUUUGGGAUAAAUAACGCACGGUGGCGACUCUUCUGUCAUUUUCUUUCCUUUGUUAUCGGUUGUUCCGUUUCGCAUUUAGGUUGCGACAGCUAGCGAAUCUGCUGGGGACCCGGUUUCCCUAAGCGAGUCCCUCCUAGCUUUUGUAGGUUUCUUGUUUGUUGGGUGUUUAUUCUUUUGCACAGUUAUUUAUUUUUCAGCAUUUACCUGCUUUACCUUAUUGCAUUCAUGUACAUAUGAUUUGCUGAAUCUGUUGGAUUCUGUGGGUUGUUUGUUUGUUGGGGUGGGAUGUUCUAUGAGAAAUAAGCCCACUACCCAGGCUUGAGUCUACACAUAGGUUUUAGAGUGGAUAGUCAUGAGGCUUGCGUGGCAUGUUGCUACAUUAAGUCGUUCGUGAGACCCACAUCCAGACGAGGUUUCUUUUGGAUAUAUUCUGUCCUAUGGGUGUUCCAUAACGACAGAUAUUCCUUUAGAAAUCGUUGACUCUGGUGACCAUUUCCCGAGAACUCAGUCGAGGCCUCUCCUCUGAGACGCGUUUAUGUUAGCUCUGGUGGGCGCAUUCUCGCUGCUCAAUCCGAGGACCCCGAGGCUGGGAACUUGCUUUAGGAUAUCCUGUUGAGGGGAGUCAGUGGAGGCUUUUUAUCCCGUAAUAAUGCCAAACCUUCAGUGGUAAACGUAUUAUUCUCGACUGAAGGGCCGAAGUUGACGAACUUCUGUUCUUAGAACCUACCAGUGAGGGGCGGGCUAAAUUCAGGAAACCUUACCGUAAUAAUGCCAAACCUUCAGUGGUAAACGUAUUAUUCUCGACUGAAGGGCCGAAGUUGACGAACUUCUGUUCUUAGAACCUACCAGUGAGGGGCGGGCUAAAUUCAGGAAACCUUAACCUUCAAUCAACCCGGUUUUCUGGUAUUCUUGUUGGAGUAGAGCUUUGAUCUUGUAUUAUAUUCCUUAGUGGGUUUCUCUUCAAACAGUGCAACCUGACAGUUGUCCAAGCGGAUGCAGCAGUCCUGAUUUCCAUGUCACUGCAUUGCAUCACAUCAUUUUGCAUUCAUAUCAUUUAACACAUGUUUAUCCGUUUCUAGGGUUUUAUAUCUUCUUCUUGAUUCCGGUCGGGGUUUUCUGGUUCUCCUAAGAUGGACAUUGGUAGAAAGAGACAUGUCGCCUACAAGUUUCCUGUGGUUUGCUUGGAUCCCAUUCAGCAGCUAAUGAAGUUAAUGGAUCAUGAUUCUCUAGAAAGAUUCCGGAAGGAUUACGGGCUGAUCCUAAGUUUCGUCACGGUUCUCUCCAAAGAUCAACAUGACGCUCUCUUUACAUUGUUGCAGUUCUAUGACCCUCCAUUGAGGUGUUUCACGUUCCUAGAUUAUAUUUUGGUCCCUACUUUGGAGGAGGUUGCUAGUUUUCUCAGAGUUCCUAUCAAGCCGCAGUUGCUAUUCUACAGUUCCGAGUUUCUGCCCGAUCUCAACAUGGUUGCUUCAGCCACAUAUUUGGGGAAAUCAGUCUUUGAAGGCUAUAUGUGUCAGAAGGGAGAAGUUAAUGGUUUUCAUCUGGAGUUCUUACUGGGGAAGCAAGAGAAGCUUGAAGAUGGGUGACCAGAGGGGUUUCAACGCUGUGUUGGCUCUUUGUGUGUAUGGGAUUGUCCUGUCCUAAUGUGGCAUUUGUGGACGUAGAUGCCAUACGCCUCUUCGUGUUGGGAAAUCCGGUGGCCGACCUUGUUGGGAUUUCUUUUCAUUCAGUGCAUCACAGGAAUGAGAAUAGAGGGAGAUUGGUGAAUUGUUGUGCGCUUUUUUUAUAAGUGUUCAGUUCUCACCUACCCAAGUCAGAGCGUUGUUGAUGUCAAGAACUCGUUGAGUUGGUCAAAGAGACUGAUGGGAUAAGAGCAAUAAGAUAUUUCUGGUGGUCAGACCGGAGGUUGCUUCGGGCAGAUAUUAUUCAUAGUUGUGGGAACUUCCCGAAUUACCAUUGGUAGGAAAGAGGAAGUAUCAACUACAAUCCUGCUCUGGCAGCCAGACAGUUCGGAUAUGCUUUAAGAACUCCGCUUUGGAAAGAUUGUGGAAGAAUUUCUGUUUUUCCAUUCUUCAUCUGAUAUGACUAUAUCCGUAAGGCAACUGAGGCUUGGUUCAAGGUGAUCAGAGAGGAAGAACUGUGCUUGGAAAGGAGAUUGUAGAACUUACCCUCAGUAUAGAGAUGGCUUCAGAAGAGUCGAGAGUUUGUCGGCCCAUUUCUAUUGAGAACCUCUGUAUCCCUACCCUGACAAGUCAAAACGGUGAGCGACGAGGAAGUAUGCCACAAAUGAAGAUGCAUGGAGCAGCUUCAAACUGAAAAUCGGAGUUAAGUGUAAGCUGCAGCUGUAUGCAUCAUUCCUGAGGCGGAAUAUAGAAGGGGGAAGCGAGUUCAGCGGAAGCAGCAGAGGAAUAUGUUGUGAGGUGGACUUUCACGGGAGACAGAACAAAGCCUGCAUCAUCCAGUUUGACUUGGGCGAGUCACAGCAGUUAAAAUGCUCAUGGUAAUGUUAGCUGGUUGGCAAGCGCAAUGGAUACAUUUUCAGCUUGUCAGAAAGGUAAAGAGGAGGAAUAGUGGCGAAUUGAUAGUAGCAGAUGGAGAAGUUGAACGAUUUUGUUGAAGGAGAGACAAUGAGCUUCUGUGCGCCAGGUUCAACCAAUGAUUUAUCACAGAUCAACUCAACAAAGUCAAGACAGUAUCUGACGAACUCAAAGUGCUCGGCAGGUUUGAAGCAAUCAGACUUUGAAGAGGUAUUCGAGAGAUGAUGAAAUUCUACAGAGACACAUCACAGUUGGAUGAGUUAUCACAAGGAAUCUGCUUAUCCGGCGUUUGCAGAAUCUCUAGAUCAUCCUGACAGUGCAUACUGGCUGAAGGCAGGUAGCAGUCCUUAUGGGUUGUAUACAGGGGCUGAUUCUAUUUUUUGUUCCUCUCUUACUUAUUUGAUUAGUGAUGAUCCACAGGCUGUUGUGGAGAUCCUUUUUUUGAUGUUACUGUUGCCUAAGCCUUCCUUCAUAUAUGUUCCUUAUUGCAUCUUGAUCUCAAAGUUUAUCCACAAACUCGGUUUCUUGCGCUUUCUGUCUCGAUGUGAGACUGGAUCAAGGGGGUAGAAUACCGUCGUUGGACAUUUUGAUAAACAUGUCAUUGCAUUUACAUAUUCAUUAAAAUGUCUUGCAUAAGCAGGUACCGCUGCGGUGUUCUCAUAUUAUUUGUGUUCCACCUCGUAGGAUAGCUGACGGGAAAUUCACCGUACGGUACCCGCAGAACACUAGAGCAGCAUGGAAAGCCUACAAGCAGAGCCUCGCCGAGAUGAGGAUCCGCAUGACCCAAUUCAUGGAUGUGGUUCAAGGGGUGGCUCAGGGACAACAAGAGCUCAGGCAGAUGAUGCAGAGGAAUCCCGCCGUUACUCAACCAGAGAUGUUGACUGAUCCUCCAGCUGGAGAGGUUAACGGACCCAGUGGACCGGGGCCUACCCCGAUCCCGCAUGUCAACUCCGGUCAACAGCCCGUCCAUGAUGAUCAGGACGACCAGUUCACCCAGAUGCAGGAAGACUUUGGCAUAGGCCAUGGCAUGGACCCCAUGUUUAGAAGGUUAGAGGAGAGUCUGAAGGCAGUGGAAGGACAAAAUCUUCUGGGAGUAGACGUUGCUGACUUGGGAUUGGUCCCAGACGUGAGGGUGCCACCGAAAUUCAAGGUCCCGAUAUUUGACAAAUACAGUGGCAACUCUUGCCCAAAGACUCAGGUGCAAGCCUAUUUCCGUAAAAUGGUUGCAUACUCUGACAAUGAAAAGUUGCUUAUGUACUUUUUCCAGGAUAACCUAGCUGGGGCAUCCUUGGAAUGGUAUAUGAGGCUGGACAGAGCCCACAUCCGCUGCUGGAGGGAUUUGGCUGAGGCUUUCGUGAAGCAGUAUCAGUAUAAUGCCGACAUGGCUCCGGACAGAACUCAACUUCAAAAUCUGUCUCUUAAAAGCAAUGAGUGCUUCAGGGAAUACACUCAACGCUGGAGGGAGACAACUUCUCGUGUUCAACCUCCUAUGUUGGAGAAGGAAAUGGCUAACAUGUUCAUGAACACUCUUCCUGGACCUUACUUGGAACGCCUGGUGGGUUGCAAUGCCUCCAACUUUGCUGAUGUAGUCUCUACCGGCGAGAGGGUGGAGAACUAUUUGAAGACAUGCAAGAUCUAGAGUGGAGGUGGAUCUUCAUCAGGGGUGAAGAAGUCGUUCAUUCAGGGACAGAAGAGGAGAGAAGGGGAUGCAAAUGCCAUAUCUUCUUAUCAGAAAAGGGGUAACCGGAGGAAUAGCUUUCAGAACUAUCAUCAACCACCGUAUGUUGCGGCUGUGACCAUUCCGGCUGCAGCACCACUACAACAACAACAACCGCAACGUCAGCAAACUCAGUACCAACAACAACAACCGGGUAACAAACCCGCCUAUCAACAGAGGCAAAGGAUGAUGGACCAACGUUUCGACACUCUUUCAAUGUCGUACGCUCAGUUGCUUUCUAGUCUUCAACAACUACAACUUAUGCAGUUACGCACUCUGGCUCCUCCUGUUGGUAGGCUUCUGGUGGGUUACGACGCCAACGCUAGGUGUAGCUUCCACUCUGGGGCACCUGGCCACAAUAUUGAAAACUGCAAAGCUUUUAAGCAUGUAGUUCAGGACCUCAUAGAUUCAAAGGCCAUCAACCUUGCACCGGCUCCUAAUGUCGUCAACAAUCCCAUGCCACAUUAUGGUAGUGCGAAUGUUAAUAUGAUGGAAGGGGAAGCCAGAUCUGUAAAAGAUGUGUUGAAGUUAAGGACUCCGUUGUUGGAUAUCAAAGGCUACUUGUUGAAGGCCGAUGUUUUCCCUGGUUGUGGGAAGGGUUGUGUGGAUUGUGCUACUCAGAGUGGAGCCUGUUUGAAGCUACAACAUGGUAUCCAGGCCUUGCUCGACGAAGGUACCCUCCAGGUUAAAGAUUUGUCUGUCCAAGAGUCUGUGGAAGGGGUUGAGGAAGAGGGGUUUGAGGAUGCUACUGAUGAAUUCACAUAUGUUGUUCCUACUGGUUCUGUAAGCCAUGAUGAUGUAUUUAAUUUUUCCAAUGUUGUUGCUGAUAUCCCAAACAAUAUGUUUGAUUCUAAUGUAAUUGAACUUGAUUCCGAUGUUUCGGAUGUUUAUGUUUCAAUGAAUGAGAUUUCAGAGUAUGACUAUGAUGUUGCUACUAUCACCAUUUUCUACCCAACUAAUCAGAUCAAUGUACCAGAAGCGCAAUCGGAUGUUUAUGUUUCAAUGAAUGAGAUUUCAGAGUAUGACUAUGAUGUUGCUACUAUCACCAUUUUCUACCCAACUAAUCAGAUCAAUGUACCAGAAGCGCAACCGGUGCCACCAGCGCGACCGUCCGCUAUGACUAUCACAACCCCUGGUCCUUUACCUUUCACCAGCGAAAGGGCCAUUCCUUGGGAUUAUGGGGGGAGUGUGUACGCGCACGAUCAUGGGAUAGAACGGCCACUGAAGGUAGAAGAGGGUCAGAAGAUUGAACUUGAAGUUGAAGGUCCCGCAGUGGACAAUGUUGGUGGAAUCGGGCGAUUCACCAAGAGUGGUAGACUGUUCUCACCACCCGUUACCCAAGCUGAUAGUGCUGACGCUGCGACGAAAGCCAAAGGCAAGCAAGUCGUGAAUGAGGGUGCCUCUGCACCCCAGGCUGGUUCUGAGCCCACUUUUGCGAAGGAUGUGGACGAGCUUUUGAGAAUUAUAAAGAAAAGUGACUACAAGGUAGUCGAUCAGUUGAUUCAGACUCCGUCCAAGAUAUCCAUUCUCUCACUCCUAUUGUGUUCGGAGGCGCACAGGGAGGCACUGCUGAAAGUCCUAAAUGCUGCAUAUGUGCCUCAGGAGAUCUCAGUGAACCAACUGGAAGGAAUCGUUGCAAAUGUUCAUGCAAGCAACGGGUUAGGUUUUACUGAUUCUAACUUAACACCAGCUGGACGCAACCAUAACAAAGAUUUGCACAUCUCGAUGGAAUGCAAAGACACCGUGUUAUAUCAUGUUCUGGUGGAUACAGGUUCCUCUCUCAAUGUGCUACCCAAGAGAGCCCUUGUUGGUGUAAGCCCUAGAGGCCAAUAAUUUUUGGUACUUGUAUCGAAUUAUUUAUUAAUAAUAAAAGGCAUUUUCUUUAUUAUGGUUGAUUAAUAAAGUCCCUAGAAUAGAUAGUCCGUUUAAUGUAUUAAGUGUGACUUAAUCAUGAGAACACAUUAAACAUAAGGACACUAUUCUUAAAGUAUCCGUAGUCGAGCUUUAAAUGUGAAGUGGGAUAACAUUAAAGCAUUAAGACUAUUAUGUUUGUAGACUGAUGAUCACAUCUCAUGGAUCAUGGAUAAAGAGUUAUCAAGUCUUAAACAUAGGUAUGAAUAUUAGGAGUAAUAUUUAUACCGGAUUGACCCGCUAUGAGAAUACUAUAUAGAAAGUUAUGCAAAGUGUCAUAAGUUAUUCUCAUGGUGAUAAUAGUGUAUACCACUCUUCGACCUGAAACCACUAUGGAUCCUAGAUGUAGAGUCGAGUGCUUUAUUGCUGAUCCAACGUUGUCCGUAACUGGAUAACCAUAAAGACAGUUGAUGGGUACUCCACGAAGCAUGCUGAGGGACAUGAGUGUCCUAGAUGGAAUUUGCCAAUCCUGCGUAACAGGAUAAAUGUCUAUGGGCCCAAUAUUGAACUGGACAAGGGUGACACGGUCUAUACCUUGUGUUCAAUAUAGACAUAAGGGCAAAGGGGUAAUUAUACACAUAAUUAUUAUCACAGGAGGUUUUGUCAGAUCACAUGACAUUUUCGUGACUUGGGUAGCAGUGAUGUGUUGCUAGAUACCGCUCACUGUUUAUUAUGUUAAAUGCGUGAUUUAAUAUAAUUGCCAACGCCACGAAAACCUAUAGGGUCACACACAAAGGACGGAUUGAUGAGAGAUAGAGUAACUAAGGAACACCGUAAGGUACGGUGCACUUAAGUGAAUUGUAGAACAUCGUAAGGUAUGGUGUACUUAAGUAGAAUACGAAAUAUGGUAAGGUACCAAAUACUUAAGUGAUUUUGGCAUAUUAUGAGAUAUAGGCCAAAAUGCACUUAAGUGGGCUUUUUGGCUUGAAGCCCACACAAGUGGUUCUAUAAAUAGAACCCCUUGGGUAGAAGCAUUAACACUCCAGACAACACAACUGAAGAGUUGGAAUUUCGUAUCUCUCUCUCUCACUCAAAGCCUUCACUCACAAACAGCUAGCACUGCGAUUGAAGGAAUCCGUUCGUGUGGACUGAGUAGAGACGUUGUCAUCGUUCAACGUUCGUGAUCGCCCCGUGGAUCUGUAUCAAAGGUUGAUCAUUGUCAGAAAUCUGCACCAAAGGUUUGAAUCUCCACAAGAGGUAACGAUUCUAUCACUGAUCAUGCUCAUUCGUAAGGAUCAUUAAAGGAGAAAUUUUUAUAUUCCGCUGCGCCUUGGAUGGCUAUUCUCCUUCAGCCCUGUCAAGGUUAGAAGUGGAGGGUUUGGUCCUGAAGCCUUCAGAUCUUAUUGUGAGAGCCUUUGAUGGUUCUAAGAGGUCGGUGUUCGGAGAGGUAGAAUUACCAAUUCAGAUUGGAUCACAAACCUUCAACACCGUCUUCUAUGUGAUGGAUAUCAGUCCUUCCUAUAGUUGCCUGCUGGGUCGUCCUUGGAUCCACAACGCUAGGGCAGUCUCUUCAACUUUACAUAAGAAGAUUAAAUUCCCAGUCAAUGGAAGGAUUAUCACCGUCUGUGGUGAGGAGGAUAUUCUGGUUAGUAACCUGUCUACAUUCAAGUAUGUAGAGGUAGAAGGUGAAUUUCAUGAGACCCUAUGUCAGGCCUUUGAGGCAGUUCAGAUCAAGGACGCAGCUCCGGUGGAAGAAGUUUUAAAGCGGGUGCCAUCUAUCUCUCUUCAAGCAGGCAAGACCUUGGGUAGAUUCCGGGUGUUGCCCCGGAUUGGGACGUCUGGUUUUGAGUUCACCAAUGAAAAGAAGACCAAGUUCGGGAUUGGGUAUCAGCCCAACUCUGACUUCUACAACUUCAACACUUCAGGACUGUCAGGGGCCGAUUACUUUCUCCAGCCGCUGCGUCAUCCAUAUGGCCAAGGUCUCUGCGCGUCAACGCAUGAAGGAUGGCAGAUAGUGAUUGCGACAUCGAUAACUGGGUGCGUCCGAGGAUCCCGGGUGAAGUCAUCAACAAUUGGUCUUCUGAGGAGAUUGUCCAAGUCACUUUUCUGGAGGAGUAAUUUUUCUUGCUUAUUCAUGCAUGUCUAAGUCUUACGUCCCGCCCAGGGCGUAAUGACUCAUUGUAGGGCUCAUCUAUGUGAAUGCCUGCAUUUUUAUCAUAAAUAAAGGACGUCUUUUUGCAUUCAAAAUUUUGUUCACUGUCUUUCCAUUUUUGCAGUUUUCAAAAAUAAAAAAAAAUAUCUGGCAAUGUUUUGUUUAGUUUUCACUUUUUUCACACUCAUAAGCACAUACCAUCACUCAUGCAGAUGCACAUCACUGGAUCCUGUUGAUAACAGUUCUGCUAUGGCUCGCUUCGACUUGGAAAAUCCGAUCUUUCAAACUGAAGAAGAGGGUGAUGGAGACUGUGAACUCCCUGAAGAAAUUGCCAGGCUAUUAAAGCAAGAGGAAAGGGUCAUUCAACCGCAUCAAGAGUCUACUGAAGUGAUUAAUCUUGGCACCGAGGAUGUUAAGAAAGAAAUCAAGAUAUGGGCUGCUUUGGAAGACGAUGUGAAGAAGGGGUUGAUUGAAUUACUGCAAGAGUAUGUUGACAUCUUCGCCUGGUCUUAUUAGGACAUGCCCGGGCUUGACACAGACAUCGUGGUGCACCGCUUGCCUCUCAAAGAAGGUUGUCCUCCGGUCAAGCAGAAGCUUAGAAGAACAAGACCAGAGAUGGCUGUCAAGAUAAAGGAAGAAGUGCAAAAACAGUUGGAUGCAGGGUUUCUAGCAGUCACCAAUUAUCCGCCAUGGGUUGCAAACAUCGUUCCAGUAACUAAGAAGGAUGGAAAGGUACAGAUGUGUGUCAACUACCGGGAUCUGAGCAGAGCUAGCCCUAAGGAUGAUUUCUCAUUACCUCACAUCGACGUUUUUGUGGAUAACACGGCUCAGUUCUCGGUAUUCUCCUUCAUGGAUGGCUUUUCGGGCUAUAAUCAAAUCAAGAUGGCACCAGAAGAUAUGGAGAACACAACUUUCAUAACCCCAUGGGGCACCUCCUGCUACAAGGUGAUGUCGUUUGGUCUGAAAAAUGUUGGGGCAACAUAUCAACGAGCGAUGGUGACUCUUUUCCAUGAUAUGAUUCAUCAUGAAAUCGAGGUUUAUGUUGAUGAUAUGAUUGCCAAAUCUCAGACGGAAGAAGAACAUUUGGUGAAUUUGCAGAUCAACGAGCGAUGGUGACUCUUUUCCAUGAUAUGAUUCAUCAUGAAAUCGAGGUUUAUGUUGAUGAUAUGAUUGCCAAAUCUCAGACGGAAGAAGAACAUUUGGUGAAUUUGCAGAAACUGUUUGAGAGUUUGAGGAAAUUCAAGCUGAGGCUUAAUCCGAACAAGUGUACUUUCGGGGUGAGAUCUGGAAAACUAUUGGGUUUUGUUGUUAGUGAAAAAGGGAUUGAGGUGGACCCGGCCAAAGUGAAAGCAAUACAAGAAAUGCCUGAGCCAAGAACAGAGAAACAAGUUCGUGGUUUCUUAGGGAGGUUGAACUACAUUGCAAGGUUCAUCUCUGACCUAACAGCCACGUGUGAGCCAAUUUUCAAAUUGCUAAGGAAAGACCAGGCUAUCAGGUGGAAUGACGAUUGUCAAAGGGCUUUCGAGAAGAUCAAAGAGUAUUUGCAGAAUCCUCCAAUCCUUAUGCCUCCGGUCCUAGGGAGACCACUGAUUAUGUACUUGACAGUACUUGACAAUUCUAUAGGUUGUGUUCUCGGUCAACACGACGAGACAGGUAGGAAAGAGCAUGCCAUCUACUACCUGAGUAAGAAAUUCACAGACUGCGAGUCGAGAUACUCAAUGCUUGAAAAGACAUGUUGUGCACUUGCAUGGGCUGCUAAGCGUUUGAGACAAUACAUGCUGACUCACACAACCUUAUUGAUCUCCAAGAUGGAUCCAGUCAAGUAUAUAUUCGAGAAGCCAACUCUCACCGGACGGGUUGCUCGUUGGCAAAUGGUACUAACAGAGUAUGAUAUCCAGUAUACAUCCCAAAAAGCCAUCAAGGGGAGUAUUCUGUCAGACUAUCUUGCUCAACAGUCGAUUGAAGAUUAUGAGCCGAUGAAGUUUGAUUUUCCGGAUAAAGACAUCAUGUUCCUCAAGAUGAAAGACUGCGAAGAGCCAAUUGUUGAGGAGGGACCUGAUCCAGACGAAAAUUGGACUUUGUUGUUUGAUGGGGCUGUCAAUGCCAGAGGAAGUGGAAUUGGUGCUGUCAUUACUACUCCGAAAGGUGCCCACAUGCCUUUCACCGCUCGUCUAACUUUUGAGUGCACCAAUAAUGAAGCUGAGUAUGAAGCUUGUAUCUUGGGUAUUGAGCAAGCCAUUGAUUUGAGAAUCAAGACUCUGGACAUCUUCGGAGAUUCAUCUCUAGUGAUCAAUCAAGUGAAUGGUGAUUGGAACACUCUCCAUCCCAAUCUGAUCCCUUACAGGGAUUACACGAGAAGAUUAUUGACUUUAUUCACAAUAGUAAAGUUGUAUCAUAUACCUCGUGAUGAGAAUCAGAUGAUAGAUGCUCUUGCCACUCUAUCCUCCAUGAUCAACGUGAUUCGGUGGAACCAUGAUCCCAGGAUUGAUAUUAUGCGUCUCGACAGGGCCACGUAUGUGUUUGCUGCUGAACUGGUAGUUGACGACAAGCCCUGGUACCACGACAUCAAGUGUUUUCUGAAGAAUCAAGAGUACCCUGCAAGGGCAUCCAACAAUGAUAGAAAGACUUUGAGAAGAUUGGCAGGCAGUUUCUUCUUGAACAAAGACGAUGUGGUGUAUAAGAGGAACUUCGACAUGGUUUUGCUUAGAUGCGUGGAUAGACACGAAGCAUACAUGUUAAUGCAGGAAGUUCAUGAAGGCUCCUUCGGUACUCAUGUCGGGGGACAUGCAAUGGCUAAGAAAUUGUUAAGAGCAGGUUAUUACUGGAUGACCAUGGAAUCUGAUUGUUUCAAAUAUGCUUGGAAGUGUCAUAAAUGCCAGAUUUAUGUUGAUAAGGUACAUGUGCCGCCAAAUCCUUUGAAUGUGAUGUCUUCGCCAUGGCCUUUUGCUAUGUGGGGCAUUGAUAUGAGUGGAAGGAUUGAGCCGACCGCCUCCAAUGGGCAUCGCUUCAUCCUUGUUGCCAUAGACUAUUUCACCAAGUGGGUCGAAGCAGCAUCAUUCGCGAAUGUCACCAGACAUGUGGGUGCCCGAUUCAUUAAGAAAGAAAUCAUUUGUCGUUAUGGGAUUCCCGAAAGAAUCAUUACUGAUAAUGGUUCUAAUCUCAAUAACAAAAUGAUGAAGGAGUUGUGCCAGAACUUCAACAUUCAGCAUCACAAUUCUUCCCCUUAUCGCCCUAAGAUGAACGGUGUUGUUAAGGCAGCAAAUAAGAACAUAAAGAAGAUUGUGCAGAAGAUGGUCGUCACGUACAGAGAUUGGCAUGAGAUGCUACCCUUCGCCUUGCAUGGAUACCGUACUUCAGUACGUACAUCGACCGGGGCAACCCCUUACUCCCUUGUGUAUGGUAUGGAAGCAGUCCUACCUGUUGAAGUGGAGAUUCCUUCUCUAAGAGUCCUGUUGGAUGUCAAGUUAGACGAAGCUGAAUGGAUUCAGACAAGGUUCAAUGAGUUGAGUCUUAUCGAAGAGAAGCGAAUGGCAGCCGUUUGUCAUGGGCAGUUGUAUCAGAGUCGGAUGAAGAGAGCCUUUCAUCAGAAAAUGCGUCCUCGAUGUUUCCAAGUUGGAGAUUUAGUGUUGAAAAGGAUCCUUCCUCCUCAGACAGAUCACAGGGGCACGUGGACUCCUAACUAUGAUGGACCAUACAUUAUCACCAAUAUUUUCGAUGGUGGGGCCUUAAUGCUUGCAACUAUGGAUGGUGAAAACUUCACUUCCCCUGUGAACUCAGACGCAGUAAAAAAUACUUCGCAUAAAAUAGACCCGAUGGACAAUAAAAAGAAUAGUCCAGGCAAAAAAAAUGGGCGUCCCGACGAACCAAGAAAAUGAAAAGGUUCGGGCAAAAAAUAGGGAUUAAAAAUGAAAAGAUUGUACACCCGGUAAGUUGAAAACCUAAAAAGGCAACUUAGGCAAAAAUGGGUAUCCUGGUGGAUUGAAAACCCGAAAGGGCGAUCCAGGCAAAAGUUAGGGAUUAAGCGAAUGGCUGCGUUCUGAGUAGUUCUGAAUAUCAUCUCGUGUCGAUAACCGGAAACUUCAGAAGGAUAGGAAACAAUCCAAUGACCUUUUUCAGAAAGUCGAUCAUCUGGAGGAUCUUGAAGACGAGCGAGUCAUAGCAGAAUUGGAACCCGAUAGAAAUCCAUUUGACGUUGCCAUUAGAUUAAUUUCUGUUUUUAUCUUUUGUGCAAUUACCUCUUUCCAGGGAUUGCUUCCUGAUGUAAAUGCCUAUUCAGAGGCCACUCAAUCAAUAAAAUCAUGUUAUUUAGUACAUCUCUGUGUUCAUUUUCAUUUUACUGUUUUGUUUGCAAAAAUGACGUCCGAAUUUUUGGUAAACAUUGCAUCAUGAAACAUAAGAGCUUUACAGGUACGUGCUCAAUAAACAUUGAAAAUUGCUGUAAAUUUUAAGCGUUUGGGAUCGUCUAUUCAGAACAGGUACACUCGGGGCAUUUCCUUAAGGUCCCCAUCAAAUGAUCGCGGAUGUUUUUCCUCAACAGUUGGAAUUUGGUAUCUUAUCCCUGCAGAGCUGGUCCGAGCGUUGGAUUCUUCAAUCCCCAGCAGGCUCUCACUGCUGUACUUCCCCAAGCAUUUGUUUCAGAUUAUACAUUCACCAGUAGAAUCGACAAUGUCAGACUGUAUAUCACCAGCGAAGUUGACAGUGACAGACUGUAUCUUCCCAACAAAAGCGGCUGCUCCUCAGAGUUUGAUGCCAGAUCGAUGAUCUCGACGCUAGACCCACGGUCUCUUUCCUUGAAGCAGAAUCUCGGUACCGUAUCGGUGUUUGCUUCCCCUGCUGAGUCGUCUCUCUCGCAGAUUAUGGUUGCCAGAACCACUGUCGCUUUCCUCGAUAACAAGUUUUUAGUGCCGUUCUCUCCUCAGUCAGAGCCUCGGUAUUUUGUUAUUUGCCCGAACACCGUAUGGCGGAUCAUUUCCCCAGUAGAAUUCUUUGCCUCGGCUUGGUAUUCUAUCUAAUCAAGCAUUUCGCAUCCCUGCAUGUAGAAUCAUAUUGCAUUGCAUCCUCCCAAAUUGCGUAGCAUUUCCAUUUUCAUGGAGCAUUACGCCAUUGAAAAAUUCAAACAUACGCAUGUAAAGCAUAAGGCACUCUCGGUAUCCCAAGUGACAAGCCAGAAGUUGUUUCCAGUACUCAGACUGAAGAUUGUUCAUGACUUAUCUUUAUUAUUCCCAGCAGGGGUCGUUGGCCCACGCGCCGCCUCAAUUAUCAUUUUCCCUAUUUCUGCCGAUGCUAACAGGCAUGAAAGUUUCCGGUAUUCAGACCAAAGUGGCAUUCAGUCCAGUUUUCCGAUGUUCAGAUCGAAGAAGUUUCCGACGUUCAGGUCGAUGCAACUUGUGGCAUUCAGGCCAGGUUCCCGGUAUUCAGACCGAAGUGGCAUUCAGGCCAGUUUUUCGAUGUUCAGAUCGAAGAAGUUUCCGAUGUUCAGGUCGAUGUAACUUGUGGCAUUCAGGCCAAGUUCCCGGUAUUCAGACCGAAGUGGCAUUCAGGCCAGUUUUCCGAUGUUCAGAUCGAAGAAGUUUCCGACGUUCAGGUCGAUUCAACUUGUGGCAUUCAGGCCAGGUUCCCGGUAUUCAGACCGAAGUGGCAUUAAGGCCAGUUUCCCGAUGUUCAAAUCGAAGAAGUUUCCGACGUUUAUUCAGGCCAAGUUCCCGGUAUCCAGACCGAAAUGGCAUUCAGGCCAGUUUUCCGAUGUUCAGAUCGAAGAAGUUUCUGACGUUCAUUCAGGCCAAGUUCCCGGUAUCCAGACCAAAGUGGCAUUCAGGCCAGUUUUCCGAUGUUCGGAUCGAAGAAGUUUCCGACGUUCAGGUCGACGCAACUUCUGGCAUCCAGGCCAGUUUUACGGUAUUCAGACCGAAGUGGCGCUCAGGCCAGUUUCCCGGUGUUCAUACCGAUGUUUGAUAAUCUAAUAUCUUCCGAUGCUCAAAUCGAAGUCAUUUCCAAUAUUCAGACUGAUGAGCGACAUUCAGGCCAUGGUUAUUUCUGUGUUACCAUUUAUUUUGGUAUCCAGGUUAACAUUCUUUUUCGAUAUUCAGACCGACUCUCACCGUACAAGACGGAUUCUUCUUUCAAGACCAUUUAUUUGCUGAUUUUGACAGGCAUCGUUACUUCACUUCACUUCAGUGUAAAUUUUCAGGCUUUUAUUGUAUUCAAUUCCCUGAUACCUCGAAAGUGCGAAAGCCGCUGCUAUCUUCUUUUCGGGUCUCCAGUUGAUUGAAUAGGGGCAGCUGUAGCACCUCAAAUUUGCCCCCCUUAUUCAUGCAUUCAUUUUUUGGUCAUUUAACAUUUCAUAUUGUAUUUCAUCAUGUCAAUCAGAAUUAGAUCCAAGAAGCUUGAAUAUCAUCCAAGACACUUUGUGGGUUCUAUCGGGGUGAUCAACCAACACAAGGGAAUGAUUUGAGUUACUUCCAACAUGUUCAAAUAGGGUCUAUUCAUCAUUCAAAACGCUAAUCUUGAAGGAGCAAAAGUCUAUUCCUGAGUUGUCAUGCUCGCUAGGCGAGCAGCGUGGUUCGCCUAGCGAGUCUGAACUGUCAUGCUCGCUAGGCGAGCAAAUUCUUCGCUAGGCGAAGCGCACGCGUUUUAAAAAUAAAAAAUAUACAGCAGAAAAAUCUUGGACUUGGACCUAUCUCAUUUGAGCCCACCAAACAACAAAAAUCAAGUUAUAAAUUCUAAAAAUUCAGUGGAAAAACCCUAGAGAGAGAGAGAGAGAGGAGAAGAGCUAACAGAAUUCAGAGCAGCCUCCAGAGACACUGAAGAAAAAAAACUCCUUUGCACAGGAUCACCUCUACCAAUUCCAUCUCAUACAAACCCUAAGAUUGCUUUGCAAACCCAACUGGGCAAUUCAAUUUCAUUCGAUCUCUCCGAUCAGGUUUGCCCUAUUUCCAUCACUUUAUGCUUUCAAUCUGAAAUUUCUAAAUGUAUAAGGUAUUAUGGGUGAAUUUGGAAGAGUUUGUAUCGUUAGGUUUUGCACACGGGUUUAGAUAUGCAUGAAUGUGUAAAACAAUGCCUUGAAUGUUUAAUCGUUUAAUUUCUGAAAUGUGUACCAUAGGGUUUGGGGUUACUGAAAUCGGACUGUUAUCAAAGAAGAACCUAGAACCCGCAGGCAUUCGCUAGCACCUCGCUAAGCGAACAUGUAGCGACGCUUCGUUAGCACCUCGCUAAGCGAAGCAGUAGCGAUGAUGACAGUAUCUAUUUUUUCUGUUGGCUCUAUAACCUGUUUUGUGACAUGUUUUCUAUUGCAUCUGGGUAAUGUUUACCUGACAUUAUUGUUGCUAUGAUUCUUUUGUUUGGUGCAACUCUUGAUUGCACCCCAUCUUGUUACUCUAACUUGUUUGUUGAGUUUUUGUGAGAGCUCCCAUAACUCCUGAAGAGAUAGCUUGCUUGGUAUUCCACUUUAUUUGUGGGAUACCAUUGUGGAGAAUUAUUCUUAUUGCUUUGCUGACGUGCUUUCUUUAAUGAUGCUAGCUUGAGAGAUCACCGGGUUUCUUGCUUCUCUAGUUGUUAUUACUUCGGAUUUUUAUCCAUGUGGUAGAUCUCCUGAUCUCUUUAUCUUUCCCGCAUUUUACCGCUUUCUUAGCUGGAAGACCUCGAUAGGAGGCGAUGUUUUUGUGUGUGUUUACUUUUGUGCCCAAAUACCUCCAAGAAGAGGCACCAGUGCUAAAGACCUCCACAAAGAGGCAAUUGAAGGAUAAAAGGGAUUAGUAGCCAAUCCCCCGUUAUUCAGUGUGUCGUUCUUUAUGCUCGCACUACGUGUCGAUGCUUCAAAACAAAAGCCCAAGAUCUUUUGUCCGGUCAGUCAGUGGAGAGGCUUCCACCUUUCUGAAUCCCCACUUUUUGUCAUGAGCUCACUCUGUCCAGGAUUAAGAGCUAUGAGGUCUUAUCCUCAUUACCCUUUCGAUCUGCUCACCCUGACGUUCAGUGUCAGUGGUUAAGAGCCCGUUUGAUUACCCUUCCAUGGCUUGUUUGUCGAGGUUGAUAUGACCCCUCUUGACUAAAGCCCUACCCAUGUAUGCUUGAGCCCCCUUGUUGGUGCGUUUACUUUAUGCAUGUUUGUUUUGUAUGGUGUGAUCGUCUCCCCAUAGGAUUGCUAGGCUACGUAUAGUCUCUCGUUUGCAUGUCAAUCAAGGUAGCACGGUUCCUUCGUCUAGGACUUCCUUUUUGCAUGAGCACUCCUAAAACACAAACAAACUCAUUGAUUUUUCUUCUCCUAAGAACAUGUUAACUCCUUCUACUACAGGCGAGUAAGUCUCUAAAGGUCGAGCAUCCGGUAGAUUGCGUAGUAACGUCGUUCACCCUAAAAAAACACACAAAACAAACAAAUAGGUCAGCCGAGCUACGAAGACUCUGAUUCUCAUAUUCAGAAGAGAUACGUAUGUAGUGGAUGCGACAUCCGUGCGAGUCAUUUUCUUUUGACCCCUCUUUUAGUAAAUAGUAUAUUAGAUAAACCCACACCCUUUGGACAAGAACAACAAGAGUGGAUCCCGUAAAGUACUAAGGAUGCGUAGGGGUGCUAAUACCUUCCCUUCGCAUAAUCGACUCCCGAACCCAAGAUUUGGUUACGAGACCUUGUCUUUUCCUUUCCUUUUUCCAAGUUUACUUCGAGCGUUUCCUUUCCCUCAUUUGGGAUAAAUAACGCACAGUGGCGACUCUUCUGUCAUUUUCUUUCCUUUGUUGCCGGUUGUUCCGUUUCGCAUUUAGGUUGCGACAGCUAGCGACUCAGCUAGGGACCCGGUUUCCCUAAGCGAGUCCCUCCUAGAUUUUGUAGGUUUCUUGUUUGUUGGGUGUUUAUUCUUUUGCACAAUUAUUUAUUUUUCAGCAUUUACCUGCUUUACCUUAUUGCAUUCAUGUACAUAUGAUUUGCUGAAUCUGUUGGAUUCUGUGGGUUGUUUGUUUAUUGGGGUGGGAUGUUCUAUGAGAAAUAAGCCCACUACCCAGGCUUGAGUGUAUACACAGGUUUUAGAGUGGAUAAUCAUGAGGCUUGCGUGGCGUGUUGCUACGUUAAGUCGUUCGUGAAGAACCACACCCAGACGAGGUUUCUUUUGGAUAUAUUAUGUCUUACGGGUGUUCCGUAACGGUAGGAUGUUCCUCUAGAAAUCGUCGACUCUGGUGACCAUUUCCCGAGAACUCAGUCGAGGCCUCUCCUCCGAGACGUGAUUAUGUUAGCUCUGGUGGGCGCAUUCUCGCUGCUCAAUCCGAGGAUCCCGAGACUGGGAACUUGCUAUUAGGAUGUCCUGUUGAGGGGAGUCAAUGGAGGUCUUUUGUCCCGUAAUAAUACCAAACCUUCAGUGGUAAACGUAUUAUUCGCGACUGAAGGGCUGAAGCUGACGAACUUCUGUUCUUAGAACCUACCAGUGAGGGGCGGGCUAAAUUCAGGAAACCUUAACCUCCAACCAACCCGGUUUUCUGGAGCAGAGUUUUGGUCUUGUAUUAUAUUCCUCAGUGAAUUUCUCUCCAGGCAGUGCAACCUGACAGAUGUUCAAGCGGAUCCAUCAAUUCUGAUUGACAUGCCUUUGCAUUGCAUAACAUCAUCUGCAUAUUUGCAUCCAACAUCUCAUGCUUAUUCAUUUGCAGGGUAUUCCCUUUCAAAACGGGGGUGCCUUAAAACUGAACAAGCAGUGCAUCGCAUACCAUGCAUAUUAACCCUUGUCUGUUUUGCAGGUGUCACCGCAGUGUCUAAUGUUUGUUCCCUGUAUCAGGCAGUUAUUGGUCCCAAGCGAGUCCACAGGUACCCGACAAAGGAAAAUCGUCCACAGCUAGCGAUGGACCAAGUACAGAAAGAGCUGGCUGAUAUGCGUGAAAGGAUGGAUCAGUUCAUGACAUUGAUGACUGGUAUGGCAGAAGGCCAGGAAAAGCUGAGGGAAUUGGUUGAGCAACCGAGACCCGAUCCGGAGGUGGAGAUACCAAAUGCUGAGGGAAACCCUGGUAACCCUGGGAACGCUGAUAACCCUGUGAACACUGGUAACGCGGGUAACGCAAAUGCUGAUGGAAACCCGGGUAAUGUUGGCAACACAGGGAAUGUUGGAAAUGGUAUUGGCGGAAGGUACAAUGUGAAUCAAGGAAUUCGGAUUAACGGGCGCCCCGUUACUGAAGAUUAUCAGUAUGAUCAAUUUUCUUUGCACGACGAGGCCCUCGAGACCACUCGCCGUAUGGAUGAGCUUGCUGAGAAGCUCAAAUCUUUGGAGUCUCAAAAUUCCUUAGGCUUUGAUGUCACAAAUCUUGGUCUGGUUCAGGGAGUAAGGAUUCCUCACAAGUUCAAACCCCCUACUUUUGAGAAAUACAACGGGGCUUCUUGCCCACGCACUCAUCUCCAAUCUUAUCUGGGAAGGUUGGGAGCUCACACGGAAGAUGAAAAGCUGUGGAUGUACUAUUUUGAAGACAGUCUAACUGGAGCUUCUCGUGAAUGGUAUUCUCAUUUGUCUCGUACUACCAUCAAGAGCUGGAAAGACUUGGCAGAGGCUUUUGUCAAGCAAUAUCAAUACAACUUGGACAUGGCUCCAAAUCGGACCUUGUUGCAAGGUAUGUCUCAGACUGCCAAGGAAACCUUUAGAGAGUAUGCUCAGCGUUGGAGACAGAUUGCUGCGUCCGUCCAACCCCCUAUGUCUGAAAGGGAGAUGGCGGACAUGUUCAUGAACACUCUUCAAGGCAAUUAUAUUGAGAGAUUGGCUGCUUGCCCGUCAAUCAGCUUUGCAGAGAUAGUAAUUGCUGGAGAAAGAAUCGAGAGUCUGUUGAAGAUGGGCCGAAUUCAAGACAAUAGUGCUUCCAACUCAUCAGGUCCCAAGAGACCGUUUGCUGGUAACGGUCAGCGAAGAAAAGAAGGCGAGGCAAGCGUUGUGUAUGCCGGCAGAGGCAGGGGUAGAGGACGCCCUAAUUAUUAUCAAGAUCAAGUGGCCGCAGUCACUAUUCCAACACCUGUUCCUCAACCGCAAUAUCAUCCGCAACAACAACCCAGGUACAACAAUCAACAACAAGGAGGUAAUCCGGGUCAGCAGAGACACUAUCAACAACGUCCAAGGCAGACGGACCGGGUCAUCGAGCCAAUCCCAAUGCCUUAUUCAGUAUUACUUCCCAAGCUGAUUGACAUGAAUCUGGUUACGUUGAGAACUCUGGCCCCACCAAUCGAUCCCAAUAAUUUGCCUAGAGGUUAUGAUGUCAACGCCAGAUGUGCUUUUCACUCCAACGCACCUGGCCAUACUACAGAUAAUUGCAAGGCUCUCCAGUUAAAGGUACAAGAUUUGAGAGAUGCCCAGGCUAUCAAUUUUGCUCCGGUGCCUAAUGUUAUCCAGAACCCGAUGCCGGCUCACGGCGGGCAGAGGAUUAAUGCUGUUGAUAGUGGGGAAACUUUGAAUUUGGUUUCUGAUGUGACUAAGGUGAAGACUUCGCUAUCGGUGGUUAAAGACCGACUUCUGAAAGGACAGAUUUUCCCGGGCUGUGGGGAAGAAUGCAGAAAUUGUCAAGCUGCCGAAAACGGAUGUGACAGUUUGAGAAGGGGUAUUCAGCAACUGAUAGAUGAAGGUUGUCUUCAGUUCGAUCAGGCCCGUCCGGUGAAGAAUGAUGUAUCGACGGUGACGUUUUAUUUCACUCCUGAAGAAAUAUAUGUUCCCGAGAGACUCGCUCCGACAACAAUAUAUUUCCCAGAAAGUACAGAACCAGCAGCGGUGAACAUCGAAAGUUCAGCACCAGUCGCAAUUUACUCUGACAGCCCUCAACCGACUUUGGUUGGUCCAAUCACCAUCACGGUACCAGGACCUGUUCCGUAUGAGAAAGACAGUGCUAUCCCGUGGCACUAUGGGGCUGAUAUCUACUGCCAGGGGCAGAAAGUUAACGAAGAAGACAUUGACAUUGGUAGCUCCGCUGUAGACAAUGUUGGAGGGGUUGGUGGCUUCACUCGCAGUGGACGCCUAUUUGCACCAUCAACAUUACGCGCGAAUACUGAAGCCGAGGCAGCUGCCAAGGCUAAAGGAAAACAGGUAUCCACCGAAGAGGUUACUACUGAGGAAGAUCCUCCUAAGACCGCAUUCGAGAAGGAAGUGGAUGAGUUUAUGAGGAUUAUCAAGAAAAGUGACUACAAGGUAGUCGACCAGCUAAAUCAGACACCCUCAAAGAUCUCCAUUCUCUCACUAUUGCUGUGCUCUGAGGCGCACAGAGCAGCCUUGUUGAAAGUACUGAAUAUGGCCUAUGUUCCACCGGAGAUAACUGUUAACCAGCUGGAGUCGGUAGUUUCCAAUGUAAACGCUAGCCGGGGGCUAGGUUUCACCGAUAAUGACCUGACAUCUGAGGGCAGGAAUCACAACAAAGCCUUGCAUAUCACAAUGGAGUGCAAAGGGGUGAUGCUUUCCCAUGUUUUGGUUGAUACAGGCUCUUCUCUGAAUGUUCUUCCAAAGAAAGCCUUAAUGAAGUUGGAUUGCGAUGACACCAUCCUGAGGCCAAGUAACUUAGUUGUGAGGGCUUUUGAUGGCUCUAAGAGAGCUGUCUUUGGCGAAGUUGAGUUGCCAGUUAAGAUUGGACCGCAGGUGUUCAAGAGCACCUUUUAUGUGAUGGAUAUCCAGCCUGCCUACAGCUGUCUGCUAGGUCGGCCUUGGAUUCAUGUUGCCGGUGCUGUUACUUCUACCCUCCACCAGAAGCUCAAAUAUGAACUAGAAGGUCAGAUCGUCACUGUAUGUGGUGAAGAGGAUAUUUUUGUUAGCCACCUGUCUACAUUUAAGUAUGUAGAGAUGGAUGGCGAGAUGCAUGAGAUGCUGUGUCAGGGCUUCGAAACUACAAACAUCAAUGAGGUCGCGCCCGAAGCUGUCUUUUCACCUGAGUUUGAGAAGGUCGGGACUUCUAUCUCUUCAUACAAGCAAGCUGUCGAAGUGGUUAAAGCUGGUAAUGCCCAAGGCUGGGGCAAAUUUGUGGAGCCAGUCAUCAAAGAAGACAAGUUUGGAUUGGGGUAUGCUCCGGGAUCUCAGAAGAAUGAAACCGGUACUCUCUCCAGCGGGGGUUUGGUUUCUCCCCACAUCGUCAAUGCUGCAGAUGAAGACAAGGCUGACAGCGACUGUGACUUAGAUAGCUGGAUUCGCCCGUGUGUCCCGGGAGAAAAGCUCGACAAUUGGUCGUCUGAAAAAACCGUCCGGGUUACUCUACUGAAAGAGUGAUUUUUAUUGUUUUCCUUUAUUACAUGCAUAAUAAAGUCUUACACUUUGCCCAAGGUGUAACGGCUCAUUUGUAGGGCCAUCCAUUUAGUUACAUUUCGCAAUUAUUUUUAUCAUCAAUAAAGGACGGCUUUUGCAAACAAUUUUGUGUUCUCUUUCUUUCAGUUUUUUUUACUUUUACAAAAAAAAAUGGCAAUGUUUCUUUUUUCGUUUUUUCUUUCUUUCCAAAAAAAAAUCUCUCAUUCUAAGGUAAAGCAUGAUCCUCCAUCAUGCAGAGCCGACCACCCGGAUCUCACUGCUAACGACACUGCUAUGGCCAAGUAUGACUUCGACAAUCCUAUCUAUUAAGCCGAAGAAGGGGUUGAGGAAGAUUGUGAAUUGCCUGAAGGGUUAGCCAGAUUGUUGAAACAGGAGGACCGAGCUAUUACACCUUAUCAGGAGGUGAUUGAGACCGUCAACAUCGGUACCGCAGACGACAAGAAAGAGAUCAAGAUCGGGGCAAGUCUACAGGCCGAGAGGAAAGACCGUUGAUCAUGUACUUGACUGUGUUAGAAAGGUCAAUGGGUUGUGUGCUCGGUCAGCAUGACGAGUCAGGUCGAAAAGAGCAUGCAAUAUACUACCUUAGCAAAAGUUUACCGACUGUGAACAAAGAUACUCAUUGCUCGAGAAAACUUGUCGCGCUUUGGCAUGGGCUGCUCGCCGACUAAGACAGUAUAUGUUGACUCACACGACUCUAUUGAUAUCAAAAAUGGAUCCAGUCAAGUAUAUUUUUGAAAAGCCAGCACUUACCGGAAAGGUUACUAGGUGACAAAUGAUACUGACAGAGUAUGACAUCCAAUACACUUCACAAAAAGCCAUCAAGGGAAGUGUCUUGUCAGACUAUCUUGCAGAGCAACCGAUUGAUGAUUACCAACCUAUGAGGUUUGACUUUCCUGAUGAGGACAUCAUGUUUCUCAAAUCGAAAGAUUGAGAGGAACCACUCCCGGAGGAGGGGCCUGACCCUGAAUCCAAAUGGGUUAUGAUGUUUGAUGGGGCGGUCCACGUCAAUGGUCGCGGAGUUGGUGUAGUGUUGAUCACACCGGAAGGGGGUUCAUAUGCCAUUUGGUGCCAGAAUAACUUUUCCCUGCACCAACAAUGAAGCCGAAUACGAAGCUUGUAUCCUAAGACUUGAGGAAGCCGUCAAUAUACAGAUUAAAACCCUGGAUGUAUACGGGGAUUCAGCUUUGGUCAUCAAUCAAACCAACGGGAAAUGGUAUACACCUCAGCCUCAUCUGGUUCCUUACAGAGACUACACGAGAAGAUUGUUAACUUUCUUUUGAAGAAAACCAAUUUGCUGAUGCUUUGUUUACCUUGUCUUCGAUGAUUAAGGUGCUAUGCUGGAACUACGUACCCAGAAUUGACGUAUCUCGGUCAGAGACGAAUGAAGAAAGCAUUUGGUCAGAAAGUGCGCCCUCGGGGGUAUCAAGUCGGUGAAUUGGUACUCAAAAGAUUUCUUCCUCCCAACACAGAUCACAGGGGCAAAUGGACACCGAACUAUGAGGGUCUGUACGUGGUUAAAAGGAUUUUCUAUGGCGGAGCUUUGAUGCUAACAACCAUGGAUGGCGAAGGAUUCCCGUCCCCUAUUAACUCAGACGCAGUUAAAAAAUACUUCGCAUAAAAUAAACCCGCUGGACAGUAAAAAGAAUAGUCCAGGCAAAAAAGGGCAUCCCGACGAACCAAAAAAAAAGAAUAAAGAGGUUCGGGCAAAAAUUAGGGAUAUAAAAAUAAAAAAAAUGUACACCCGGUGAGUCGAAAACCCGAAAGGGCGGCUCAGGCAAAAAAGGGUAUCCUGGUGGAUUGAAAACCCAAAAGGGCGGUCCACGCAAAAGUUAGGGAUUAAGCGAAUGGCUGCGAUCUGAGUUCAUCUAUGUCAUAUCACCGUUUCAUUCAAUCCGGCAAUCUCCAAAGGUUAAAGAUCGACUAAUCAACCACUUCAGAAAGCAAGAUGAGCAAGCGUCUGGAGGUCAUACGAGUCAUAGCAGAGUCGAAACUCAGUGAGACCCCGUAUCCCCAUUGCCAUUAUUAGUUCUCUUUUUAUAGCGAUCACCUCCUUUCAGGGAUCAGCUUCCUGAUACCCUCGCCUAUUCCUGGCACAAAUUUUCUCCGCAGUAAGAUUCGAAUAAUUCAGUUAAAGAGCCUCUUUAUUUUUCAUUUAUCAGUUUAUUUGCAAAAAUGUCCGAAUUUUUGAUAAAACAUAUUUCAUAUGAACAUAAUGGUGGCUUUUGCAGAUGAUUUGCACAGGAAAACAUUUAAAAUUGCUUUGAAUGUGCUUAAUCCCGGACGGUGAUUCAAACCGAGUAAGUCCCCCGAGCAUACGUGUAUUUUUGGUUGCAAGGUCACAAGGAACCCGAUGGCCUAACGUUCAUGAAAUCCUUCAUCCCCAUAGCGGGUAACAAAGUCACUCUCCUCAGUAGAGCAUGUUCCCACCAGCAGAGGUGACAGUGAUCCAGACUAUAUAAUCCCCAGCGGAGUUGACAGUGUCAGACUGUAUCUUCUAGCAACACCGGAGUGGUUGCAUAACCAACAGAUGAGAGGGUGGUGUUCCCCAGUGUUCAUCUCAUUCCCCAGGCAGAUUAUUUUAACAGAUUCUGUUGAAUCCCUCAUCCCGCCAGUAUCAGCUUGAGGGUGAUUAGCAAUGUUCACUAUCCCCAGCAAUGCCCUAAUGUGCGUUAAUCCUACUGACACUUCCCCAGGAAGUGUUUUCCCCGCACGACCUCUCCUCCACAUGGAAGCCUGCGCCGAAUCACACAAGUUUUUUCCGUAGUUUGAUACUCCCCCCCGAGACUACCACGCAAGCUCAACUUUCCAAGCAAGCCAAUUUGUUGGUGGCCUCAUUGGUCCCCUGGCAGAUACGGAUCAUUCCCCACAGAGCAUUCAAGGAUUGAAACAUGGCGAUCUGUUCCCCUACCGGAGUGGCGUUCCCAAGCGAGAUUUCUUUUAACAACCGGCAUAACAAGCAUCUUGCAUGCAUAUGCAUAUCAAGCAGUACACAUAAGUUUGAAGAACAGGUCGUUCAAGAAGACUGAAGAAUACUUUACAACCCAAGGUCAUGGAAAUCCAGCCAGAGGAUCAAGUGGGAGUGACCAAGCGAGGGUCGUUUGAAGAUUCAGCCUCGAGAAACGUUUUCCCAGUGAUGCCAGCCCUGAGGGUUCAUGGAAGAUUCAGCUUGAGAACGUUUCCCAGUUGAUCGACCCGGCCUGAGGUUCAAUUUUGAAGACUUCAGCGCCUGAGUAAUCGUUCUUCCAGUGAUUCCAGCCUGAGGGUCCAUUUGAAAGAUUCAGCCUGAGAAUCGUUUUCCCAGUGAUGCCGGCCUGAGGUUCAAUUUUGGAAAGAUGUCGGACCAUGAGAAUCGUGUGUCCAGUGAUCCAGCCUGGGUCAUCGGAGAAUCAGUGUUCGAAGUUCCACCAUGCGGAGCAGUCGUGACAGUUUAGCAGCAGGCGUCUUUACGAGAGAUUCAAACUGAGAAAUCGGUCCUACGUAAGCAGCCUAAGUUGCGUCAAUGUUGAAGAUUCCCAGUGGAAGUCGCCUACAAGCUUUACUUCCCCAACAAGCCAAGUCUAAAUUGAGGAGUCUGUUACAACAUGUUCUAGGCCCAAGAAUAUGUUACGAAGCCCAAAAGUGGAAUAUCCCGAAGCUGCAAUCUAAAUAUGAAGGUUGGGUGAAUUCAAAAGCGGUCCAACCAGCGGCAUGCCUCAGAUGCGGGAUCCUAAUGAUGGGAAAUUUACUCAUGCAAACAAUCCAGCUCUAGCGUCCAGAUAGAUCGAAGUAGAUUGCAGCCAGAGAAUGCGAAACAAAGAAGAUCUACGGCCAGAAGAUAGAAAUCGCAACAAUUCAGAUCUAGCCAGAAGAUCGAAGUGAGAAUUCAGGCCAGAGAAUCAAAAGGAAAUAGAUUCAGCCAGAGAAUCGAAACGAAGGAGAUCUAGCCAGAAGAUCAAAAUCGUAUCCAACCGAGGAUCAAAAUUAAUAUCCAAACAGAGGACUAAAUUGAGGUAAUUAUGCUUUUGCCAGAGGAGGAACUCGAACUGAAACCAGAUUAAGCCAGAAGAGACUGAUUCAGAUCCAGCCAGAGGAAGGAUCGGAAGAAAAAUAAACAGCGCGGUGUAUUUCCCGCAUUUUUUGUGGUGUUCUCGGAGCGCAAAUUUUUUGGUCUGUUUGGUAUUCAAUCACAGCUCACCCCGUUUGGUCUGAUAAGUUGUUUCGCUUUCAUCCCUACUCGGGUUAGCUUGAUGAUUGAAAUAGGGGCAGCUGUAACACCCCCAAAAUUUUCCCUCCUCAUUCAUGCAUUCAUUUUAACAUUUCAUAUUAACAUUUCAUCAUGUCAAUCAGAAUAGAUCCAAGAAACUUAUUUAAAAAAAAAAUAAAAUAAAAAAAAAAUAAAAUAAAAAAAAAAUAAAAAAAUAAAUAAAAUAUAAUAGAAAAAAGACUUGGACUUGGACCUCUCUCAUUUGAGCCCACAAAAGCCAUGAAAUCAGGUUAUAAAAGAGGAGAUCAGACAGAAAAAGGAAGAGAAGCAAAAACACUCCUGAGGUUUCCUUGCCACAAACCCUGGACAAAACCUGGAGAGAAAGCUAGACAGAGAUUGUGAGAAUCUAACUGCAGCACACUCCAGGCAACUCUGAAAAGGUUCAUUCUACUCACAAGACUUUCAACUCAAGCAAACCCUACAUUGGUUUGCAAAAUCCAGCCGUGCAUUUGAUUUCAACCGAUCUCUCCAAUUAGGUUUGGCCCUAUAUCCAUCAUCUUUACUGCCUUUAAUUUGAAUGCUCCUAAAUGUAGAGGUGUUUAUGGGUGAAUUUGAUACCCUUUUGAGGCAUGUGUUUGACAAGAGGUUUUGCCUCCUACCCUUGGUUGCUUUUUGGGAAAUUGAAAGGGCAUGAUUCUAGUGGUUACAUUUUUGAUUUGGGGCAACCCUUGAUUACCCUAUUUUUUUUUCUCUCUAACCUGUUUGUUUGAGUUUUUUUUGUGUGAGGGCUCACAGACUCUUGCAGAGAUGGUUUGCGUGGUUUUCCCACUUUAGUUGUGGGAUACCCCCUGGAGGUUCAUUCCGAUUACCUGUACUGACUCACCUUUCUUUGAUGGCAUUUAGCUUGGGAGAUCCCUGGUUUCUUACUCCUUUAAUUGUUGUUACUUCGAUGCUUUAUCCGUGUGGUACUUUUACCUCUUUUCCGCAUUUUAUCGCUUUCUUAGCUGGAAGACCUCGAUAGGAGGCAUUUGUUUUCUUUUGUUUAUUUACUUCUGAGCCCCUUGUUGGCACAUUUACUUUAUACAUGUUUUGUUUGUAUGUGUUCGUAUCCCUGCAGGUCAGCGCGGUUCCCUUCGUCAAGGACCUGCCUUUUCUUCCCUUGGAGCAUCCCUAAACCACUAAAACCCAAAGCAACACGUUAACUCCUUCUACUACAAUGCGAGUAAGUCUCCAAGGUCGAGCAUCCGUUAGAUUGCGUAGUGACGUCGUUCGUCCAAAACCCAAUCCAUAACCCCGUAGUCUUAGCCGAAUACGGCUUGCUCUGAUUCUCAUUCCAGAUGAGAUACGUAGGCAUAAGACGUGAUGUCUUAGCGAGCAACACAUCCCCCCACCCAUAGGUCAGCCCGAGCUACGAAGACUCUGAUUCUCAUAUUCAGAUGAGAUACGUAUGCAAGUGGAUCGCAACAUCCGCGCGAGUCAUUUCAUUUAACGCCUUUUUUUGGGUAAACAGCACAAGAAAUAAACUCAACACCCUUUAGACAAGAACUACAAUAAGUGGAUCCCGUAGAGUACUACGGAUGCGUAGGGGUGCUAAUACUUCCUUCGCAUAACCGGCUCCCGAACCAAGAUUUGGUUGCGAGAACCGACCGUUCUGUCCUUAUCCUUUUUCAGGUUUACUUCGAGCGUUUCCUUUCCCUCCUUUGGGAUGAAUAACGCACGGUGGCGACUCUUCUGUCAUUUUCUUUCGCCGGUUGUUUUUUCGCGCACUGUAUUUUUCAGGUUGCUACAUCAGGGAUACCGUCCCCAACCCGAACUGCUGAGGUUUCUUAAUCAACAACCAUUGUUCGUUCCUCAACUAGCUCCGAGGAACCAAAUGCGGAAUCAGAAUUGGUACUCAAGUCGGAGGCAAAACUCUUAUGCUCAAAAUGGCCAGGAAAAAUCAAAGAGGUUGGAAAAACAGUUUGACCUGAUUCCCAUGACGUAAGGUCGAAUUCUCCCUCUUUUGCUCAACAAAUCAUUGGUGCAGUUAAGGGCACUAGGACCUCCUCCAACACCUCUUCCCUUGAACUACGACAUGAAUGCUAGGUGUGAGUUCCACUCGGGAGCACCCGGACACUCGAUCGAGAGUUGUAAGGCCUUCAAAUACAAGGUCCAGGAACUGAUUGUUUCAAAGGCUAUCGCGUUCACACCAAACAGACUGAAUAUACUAAGCAACCUCAUGCUGCCACAUGAAGGCACUUCUGCAAUGCCACAACCAGUGCCAAUGGAUGAGGAACAAGAAGCUGAAUAAGAGCCGCCUUGGGGACUAUCAUACAUGAGUACAAGCAUGGAUACACCGAUCAUCGGUUGGAAACAAGGCUAAUCACGCCAGCAAUUAGUUAUCAUUCAUUUGUUUCACGUGUAACUUUCUUGCUUGUCAUGUAAUAUUCACUCUUAAAAACUUGUUUUUGCAACAAUGAAAUGAAUAUGCAUGUUUUAAGUCAAUCCAAUUGUGUUCACUCUUAUCUUACUUUUGUUUAAAAACGAAACUUAAAGGGAGAAUGAUGAAUAUAAGGUACAAUAUCUCAUUGCAUGUAUGCUUUUGAAUAAACACCUUGCUGAUGAUGUAAGGCAUUACUUCAAAUCCCCAAACAGUGGAGGUAUAAGGAUGAUAAUCCCUAGUCAACCCCUUUGAGCCUAAAAGUAUGAGUUUUCUUCCAAGCAGAGAAACCCUCACAUCUUAAACCCGGGGCAGGGUAGUCUUCAGCUAAUUUGACCACGCGUUCAAUUCCUAAAAUACAAAGUAGGGAAUGUCCCAUUUGAGGAUCAACCACAUCCUAGGGAGUGUCUUGUCUAAAAGGCAACCACAACAUUUCCCUCACGAGAGGUCGAAAUCACAAAUCCAGUGGUUGUCCCUCGCCAAAAAAAAAGUGAGACAGCCACAAAUCCUUUCAAACUAAAUCAACAAAUGUCACACGAUUUGUUCCACACAAAAAAAUUUCCAAAAAAGAGAGAAAAAUCCCGCUAAGUCGAAACUUGAAAACAAGUGACUUAGGCAAAAAUUAGGGUAUCUCGAUGGACUGCAAGCAAAAAAAAUAGUCCAUGCAAAAUUAGGGAAGUUGAAAAAAAGGGGCAGAAGAGGAAUCAAAAACAAAAAUCCUCAGCAAGAACAAAGUCGUGUGACUGCAAACACAAAAAUAGGAAGGCAAGUGACUGUCACUCCCGAAACCUUUUGUGGCGGUUCUCUUACUCACUCACAUCACAUUCUAAGAGAUGAACGUCUAUGUCAACUAGUUGAACGUAAGGGCUGAAGGGUAUCCAAGAAGAAUGGGCGGGAUAAAUAAAUUUUUGAGCCCAUAAAUCCUUUUGUUUCUAAACGCGUAAAACCAUCCCACAUUACAACCCUUAAAAGACCUAAUUGAAGCAAGUCUAUUUGAAAGCAUAUUGCAUUGGAGCUUUGUCGAAACCGACUCCUAUUUGUUUUGGCUAAGUAUCACUAUGACUUUUGUAACUAGUGAUCCAUUCACUAAUAUGUCAUCUUUUCAAGUGGACAUACUUGGAUUUCUAAAACUACCAUAAAACAUAACAUUAGCAUAAAUAGUUUACUUGUGAAUGAGCAUUGACAUCACAGACAUUUUCACAAUGAACAUGACUUGAGAAGUUUUGGUCACCCAAAAGAGGCAAUUUCCCGAGGACUCCGAUGAGUAAAGGCCAUCCCUUAGAUUAAUCUCACCAGGGGAAAGGCAUCUGAGAACUCCGUCGAGCAAGCCACUUCAAGAUCCAGUCAGUCUGGGACAUCACGUCGAGAUUAGGCAAAUAUCUCCAAAGGAGUUGGCCAGGGGCAUUCCCUCAAAAAUAAACCAGUCAGGGGCAAAUCCAUUCAAGGUUUCACAUCGUAUAAGAAGAGCCACCUCAAAGCAUGAGAAGUCAAAACACUCAAAGAGAUGGAUGAAUAGGGGUAGGCAGAAUCCAAGACGCUGGGGUAUAUCAGAUCAAAGAUUACUCUACCCAUGUUUGCUUCAUAACUUGUAACUGGGGCAGUCCAUGUAGAUACCUAACAGAUUGAGGCAACACUGGCGCAUGGAGAGGAAGAUCUAUUUCGUCGUUAUCGAAUCGAUGCUUGGAUUCUCAUGCGUCAGAUCAAGCAUGGGAAUCAGAAUAUCCAGACAAGCUCACACGUCAUCCAGGUUCAAAGCAAAAUGGUCGGGAAGUCAUGCUAAAGACAUCAUCCCAUAACUUGUCACCAAUGAGCCUUGAAUUCAAGAAAAAAUAUUCCCAGUUCCAACCAUUCUUGACCCACCUCAAGGACAUUUAUGAACUAUCCAAAUAAUUGCAUCAAUCAUUAUGCACCAACCAUGUUGCUUCACUCAUACAUAUCAUGCAUCAUGCAUAACAUGAAGCCCUCCCCCAACAAGAAUAUAGAAGCCAACCCCACUUGAUACCCUUUCAAAAUUAAAGCCUACUUGGCAAACCCAAAAAUAUAAUCAUCAUCAGAUCCAGCCUGAUCCCGUCCAAACCAAAAUCCAAAAGCCCAAUCGUUAUUGCACCUUCCAAAGCACACAUAAACUCAAUCGUAUCUGCACCUCCAAAACAAAUCUCAUAUCAUUAACCAUAAACCGCAAUCGUUAUUGGCACCUCCCAAAAUAAUCUUUAUCAUUAACCAUAAUGCCCAAUUGUUAUUGGCUCCUCCAAAACAAAUCUCUAUCAUUAACCAUAAAACCCAAUCGCUAUUGGCAUCUCCAAAAACCGAAAGCCACUUUGCUGGAAUCUUCAUAAACUCAAAUCCAAUCAACUUGGUACCCAAAAAGUCUCACCUCCCCAACGGAGAUCAAUCAAAUACAUCAAUAUUCAUCUUGCAUUACCACAUGCACUGCAUACAAUAAACACACAUGACCUUCUUUCAAAAUAAGAAAGUUGCAUAUCAAAAAGCUCUCUCAACAAAAUGAGAAAUUCUCAAUAACAUGCACCAUAUGCAUACAUAACAUUAAUAACUCCUUCCCAUCAACCUUUGAUGAGGACAUAACCUGCCUUAAUAUUUUCUGUCAACCCUUUUGACGAAGACAAUUACCUUUCCGUCAACCUUUGACGAUGACAAACUUUUUUCCAUCAGCCCUUUGAUGACGACAUUUUACACACAGUUCUUUCCGUCAACACUUUUGACGAAGACAAAUACCUUUCCGUCAACCCUUUGACGAUGACAAAUUUCUUUUCCAUCAUCCCUUUGAUGAUGACAAUAUUUUCCGUCAAACCCUUUGACGAUGACAAAAUUACCUUUCCGUCAACCCUUUGACGAAGACAAAUUACCUUUCCGGUCAACCCUUUGAUGAAGACGAAUCCUUUCCACAACCCUUUGACGAAGACCAAAUUCUUCCUAUCAAACCCUUGGACGAAGCCACAAAUUCACCUCUCCGUCAACCCUUUGACGAAGACAAAUUACUCUCUUUCCGUCAGCCCUUUGACGAUGACAAAACUCUUUUUCCGUCAACCCUUUGACGAAGACAAAUUACCUUUCCGUCAACCUUUGACGAUGACAAACUUUUUUCCGUUAACCCUUUGACGAAAGACAAAUUACUUUUUUCGUCAACGCCUUUGACGAUGACAAACUCUUUUCCGUCAACCCUUUUGACGAAGACAAGAAUUACCUUUCCGUCAACCCUUUGACGAUGACAAACUCUAUUCCAUCAACCUUUGAAUGACGACCCUUUUCAAUCAACCCUUUGAUUACGACACCCUUUUCCAUCAACCCUUUGAUGACGACACCCUUUUCCAUCACCCCUCUUGAUGAUGACACCUUUUCCAUCAACCCCUUAAUGAUGACACCCUUUUUCAUCAACCCUUUGAUGACAACACCCUUUCCAUCAACCCUUUGAUGAUGAUCUCUCAUUGGAAACAAAAAUCCCUACAAAAAUCCAAAUAACCAGUUGCAGUCCCACAUGCAUUGCAUGCAUCACUUCAUGCAUAAUUUUCCAUAGAAACGGAAAGUCCGCACUAAAGCCCAACCAUACUUGGCACAAUCAUAGACCCUUGCAUUUGCAUACCCCAGCAACCCGAGCUACACCAAACUUUCUGCAUACAUCAACAUUUUACAUGCAUAACAUUGCAUCACAACAUACUCUUCAUAUUGGGGCAAGUAUGUUUAGCAGAAGUUGGAUUCAAGCCUUUCUCGAAAGUGCAAGGGUCCCCGUGAACAACCCAACAGGUAUCCCCAAAGUAUCUCCUUUUAUUUGCCUUUUGCAAAUAUUGUUGGCCCUUUGUCAGUACCCCUCGCCUUUUGCGAGACCCUAUGCUUUUUGCAAGGGAAAACCCUGGUUUGCCUUUUUGCAAGCUCCUUGUACCUUUUGCACAAGAGAGUUUACCUUUAUCAACUUUGCAUGUUAAGGCAAAAAUGAGAGUGGACGAUUGACCUAUUCUCUUAAACGUUGUUCUUAAAACACCUGAUGUAGGUUUGGCAAGUCCCGAGUGGUAGCCAUAUUUCAAAAAUUUCAUCCCCGCGCCGUUGGCCUGAGGUUAUAUGAAUUUUUCGUGUCUACCAAUAAAUUUUCCCUCUACCUUGUGUAUGAUAACUACAUCUAUUUCACCUACCUUUUGCAAGUACUGCAUGUGCUUUUGCACACUUUCAAAAAUCAACACCUUCCCAGUCGUGCCUAGGGAAUGACACUGUUUCAAACUCAAAUCUUCCCUGCCGUUGCUAGGGAUUGACACUUUCAAAUUCUAACCUUCCAGCCGUUGCUAGGGAUUAACACUUCAAAAUCAAACCUUCCCAGCCGUUGCUUGGGAUUUACAUUUUCAAAUUCAAACCUUCCGCGCAUUGCUAGGGAUUGACACUUUCAAAAUUCAAUCUCCCCAACCGUUGUUAGGGAUUAAUAUCUUUAGAUUUCAGGUAUUCCAACCAUUACUAGGAAGUGUCACUGAACUAAGACCUCCCAGUCGUUGCUAGGGAUCUACACUUUAGAUUUAGGUUUUUCCAGCCAUUGCUGGAAGCGUCACUAAACUAAAACGCUCCUAGUCGUUGCUAGGAUUACAUUCUUUAGAUUUCAGGUAUUCCAGCAUUGGCUAGGAAGCGUCACUGAACUAAAACCUCCCCAGUCGUUGCUAGGGAUCUACACCUUUAGAUUUCAGGUAUUCUAGCAAUUGAUAGGAAGCGUCAUUGAACUAAAACCUCCCUAGUCGUUGCUAGGGAUCUACAUCUUUAGAUUUCAUGUAUUCCAGCCAUUGCUAGGAAGGUCACUGAACUAAAACCUCCCCAGUCGUUGCUAGGGAUCUACACCUUUAGAUUCAGGUAUUCCAGCUGUUGCUAGGAAGCGUCACUGAACUAAAAUCUUCUUAGCCAUUGUUAGGGAUUUUCACUAUCUUUUCACAUAAGAACUAUCCCCAACGAAGUCAUGUCCCUCUCAUCUUCCUUCUUGACCUUUUGUCAUGAAGCUUUUCUCUUUGUCUUCAAUUUAAAAGAGAUACUUAUGUACACACCAUAACAUACUAUGCAUAUCAUACACAUCAUGACAUAACCAUCAUACAGCUGACCCAUAUCCUCCCCACAUAAUACCCAUAAAAACUAUCCUCAACAGAUUGAUUUCAUAUCAAAUUUAUUUCCAUCCCAUGAACAACCUUCACACAAUACCCAUCACUUCAUAUCACAUUCACUUCAUUCUUAGUAGGGUGAAUGUUUGGAUAUUUUUAUUUAUUUUAAUCCUGCUCUUACCUUGGAUGUGUGGAAGUCGUUGCUAUCUAAACAUUCAGGUUCGAGAAGAUUAAAUAGGGGCAGCUGUCAUACCCUAAAAUUCACCCUACCUCGACUACAAUUUUCAUUUGAUCCAUGACCCUACUGCACUGCAUACAUUCA